CCAAUACCAUCGAUGAGAUUUCUUCAGCAGCAAAAUGCUUUUCCUCGUCUUUAUAGUUAACAACAAUCAUGGGUUUGUCAUUGAGGUUGCCAAUUACUUUGAAGGGCCACGACUUCAUAUCACUUUGUACGAUUGAGUCGCAAAACUUCCUACCAAUUAGCCUCUUUGCAUCUACAAAACAAACAAAAGAGUUGAGUACACUAUGAGAAAAAAUGAUGUACCAUUUUCUUUGCAUUUGAAUAAAUCUGUAUGUAUAAAUAGGAUAACUCUAAUAUAUCUUUGAAUAUGAAAAAUUGUUAUAUAUCAAUUAUGAAUCAAAUUACACUGAUGUAACAUGUAUCGUUACAUCACUAAAUAACUUUUUAUUGGAUAUAUUUUCAUUACAAAAUUUAUAGCUGGAUUAAAAAUUAUUUUGCAUAUAAUACAUCUAUAAAAUCAUUUGAAAUAUAAUAUACAGAUGGUUUAAAAUUAUUUCCAUAUCAAGUUCAGUUGGUUCCAAACCCAGCUUGUAUCCAAAAGAGUUAAUAUAUGUUUACCUGAUGUAAUAUUAGCGGUUUCUGAUUACCCCAUAUAAAAAGAAUUAGAUUCAAACUCUGUAAUUUGAAGAUUGUUUGGAUUUAGAUUUUUAUGAAUUUUGAUCGUACAAAAUCGAUAAAAUGACAGUGAUAAACAAAAAUUCGUUCAAAAUACAGAGUGUGAAAGUACCUUAAAUAUUGAAAUUUGAUGUCAUAAAAUAAAAAAACUAAAGAAUCUUCAAAUUAACAGAGUUGAAAUCUAAAAAAGAAACUUUACAGAAAGUAAACCAAAAACCGUUAAUAUUACAUAGACCCUAUCGAAAAUAAGAAUUUUAACUAAAGAAAUAACAUAAAUAGGAUAAGUUUCAUGCAUUAAAAUAUCAUAUAUAGUUGGCUCAUCAAACAUUAAAAUCAAGGAAAAACAUGAUAGUUUAUCUUAGAGUAUUGUUGUUCACACAUUUGGUUUGGCUGAGAAAUACGAGUAAUUUUCCUUAAUACCCUUCGGCAGUUAACCAUCGAAAUUUUAAAGAAUCGGCUGCAGUUAACUGCUGAGGAAAACUUCAGUAGUUAACUGUCGAGGAAAACUUCGAUAGUUAACUGCCGAGGAAUUUCAAACCUGAAAUUAAAUAAGGAAAUGCACCUAAAUUUUCCCUUAAUUAAAUUUAAUUCUUUACUACAUGAUUUUUUUUAUAAUGUUGUUGAUUUCAUUCAUAUAAUUUUGUUGCCAUAAAUGAAGAAAUAUGAGAUCCUAGAACUACAUAUUCGAUCAUGUUUCUUACUAGUAAUAGAAAAGAGGUUUUAUUUCUAAAAAAAAAAAAAAGAGGUUUUAUUAAUAGAAUGAAUAAUUACAAAUGUAAUUAUUUGAAAGAGAGAUGAAUAAUAUCUAAAAUAUUAUAAAGUAGAGUAAAUAGUCAAUUUCCCCCCUGAAAUUGUAAGUUUCAUCAAUUACCCUCCUGAAAUUAACAAAACUUCAAUUACCCCCCCUGAAAUUUCACAACGUUAUAAAAAUUAAUAUUAUUUUUUCCAAAAACAAACAAUUAAUAGUUAAAUAUUAAAACUAACUAUUAAUUUUGGAAUUUGGGAAAACUACAUGCAUAUAUACAUCAAAAUAGGCUCCAAAAUGGGAAAAAAAAAAUGUAUUUUUUAAAGUGACAAUAAUGGGAUGAUUUGUGGAUUAAUAUUGGGGGUUGUGUAGUUUAAAUGAUUUGAGAAAAUUGUUGAAGGAGUUUGAGGAGUUAAAAUAUUACGAUGGUGAAGGAGAACAUAUAAAUUUAAAUCUGAUUAUUAAUUUGUUUAUAAACCUCUAAAAAUAAUAAUUUUUCUAUUAGAAAUAACCAUUAUUGUCACUUUAAAAAUACACAUUUUUCCCUAUUUUGAUGUAUAUAUGUAUGUAGUUUUUCCAAACUCCAAAAUUAAUAGUUAGCUUUAAAUUUAACUAUUAAUUGUUUGUUUUUAAGAAAAAAAUAAUAUAAAUUUUUAAGUUUGGGGGGCAUUUUGCACAUAAGUGCAAAACUUUAGGAGGGUAUUUGCAAAACGUCAUUUCACUAACAGAAAAAUUUGACGGAGGGGGUAAAUUGACUAACGUUGUGAAAUUUCAGGGGGAUAAUUGAAGUUUUGUUAAUUUCAGGGGGGUAAUUGAUGAAACUUACGAUUUCAGAGAGGAAAUUAAUUAUUUACUCUAUAAAGUAAUAAUAGGUUAGUCAAACCUAUAAAUAAUGACAUACAUCAAUGAAAUUAAUUACAAAUAUAAUUAUUCUAUCAUUUAUAAUGUUUUUUGUUGUUGCAUUUUUUUUAUUGAAUCACCAUUUUAGGUCCAUUAAUUACCGAUGACGAACAUUUUUAUUUUUUGUUGUUGCGUUUUUCAUGUUAAUUAAAGUAAUAAUAUCUGAAAUAUUAGUAUAAAGUAAUAAUAGGUUAGUCAAAUCUAUGAAUAAUGACAAACAUCAAUGAAAUUAAUUACUAAUAAUUUCAAAUAUAAUUAUUCUAUCAUUUGUAACGUUUUUGUUGUUGCAUUUUUUUUUUUUAUUGAAUCAUCAUUUUAGGAAUUAUUAACUACCGAUAGUAGAUAUUAUUCAUCUCUCAUAUUUCUUCAUUUAUGGCAACAAAAUCAUAUGAAUGAAAUCAUAAAAAUAAUUAUGUUUAAUUCCUUAAAAGGAUUAAAGAAUUAAAUUUAAUUAAGGAAAAUUUAGGUGUAUUUCCUUAUUUAAUUUCAGGUUUAAAAUUCCUUGGCAGUUAACUGCAGCCGGUACUUUAAUAUUUCGACAUUUAACUCCCGAUGAUCAUUUAAGUAAUUUACUUGUGUUUAUGAGCCAAAACUAAAUGUAUCAAACAACAAUACUCUUUAUCUUAUCAUGUAUCAUUUUAUCCUAAAUAAAAUCAAGAAUAAUUGAGUUUAGAAGCUUUUACCAAAAACAGUGUUGGUUGGGUUGGAUGCAGCCAUAUUGGAAGCAGCAUCACCAAUCAUUCUUUGAGAGUCAGUGAAGGCAACAUAAGAAGGUGUUGUUCUAUUCCCUUGGUCGUUCACUAUUAUCUCUACCUUAUCAUUCUUCCAUACAGCAACACAAGAAUAGGUUGUUCCUAGGUCGAUUCCUAUUGCAACUUUCUCACUUUUUACUGUCAUUUCUCUCUUGCAAGGUCACCCAGGUUUUGAGAACAAAUUGUUGUUUGUUUUGGCUAAUGUAUAAGGUUUUCUUUGAGGGCUUGGCUUAUAAAAAGAAGUACAAUAUGAACUUCUUUGUAAGUUUCGUUGCUGUUUCGGAUUAGUUUUCAUGAUUUUAAGGUUGGUGGUUAUAAUUUUCACAAAUAACUAGUGGAUAAUAAUUUGCUUAAAAACAAAAAACAAGCAGUGGUGCAUAAUUUAAGACAAAAAUAUUUGCAACGACUAGAAGUCAAGCUGACACUUUCCUCGAAAUUGAUUCAGUAAACUCUUAUCAACUGGAGUUUUGCUACUUGCAAGAGUGAAUAUUCUCCUUGGAUAGCAUAUUAAAUCCAUCUAUAUAGGCUAUAACCCUUAUUUAUAAAAUAAAAAGGAAAAAAAUUCAUUAGACGCCAAACUUGCAUUUCAAAAAUCCAUUUUGAUUUUGUGCCUUACCCUAAUAGAACAACCUUUCUUUCCCAUGGAAACGGUUGGGAAUUCCGCCUUUAUUGCGAUCUAUCCCUAGUCGCUUAAAUGCUACAUUUGAGUUGUCUUGUGUUGGCUUUGAGGGGGUGGAUUUAGUCCCAUAUGGGUUGAAUUGGACUAAGUGUAUAGAAGAGGAGGCACUCCAUGCUUUACAAGCCGGUUUUGUCAAGAUGAGUUAGGCUACAAAUUUCUACGGUUCGCAAAUACUCCAGAGUCGGAAGAGCAUUUUUUUUGUAAAGUGUUUUCCCUAGUUAUUUUCCUCUCACCUUCAUAAACAUGAAUUAGAAUAUUCAUUUGGUUGUGCAAAUGUGUGGUGAAUACAUGUUCCAUUUUGGCAGGAAUUUUGGUAUUCCUAGGGAUUAUUGUGUUCAUAAUCCCCCCCGAGUCUCCAAUCCAAGGGACAAAGGAAUGACCUCCGACAAUAGUAAAUCUUGAACCUUCUCACUACGCUCACCACUCAAUAUAGAAGCAUGGACAGCAGCGCCAUAUGCCACUGCCUCAUCGACAUUGAUGCUUUUGCAUAAAAGCUUCCCCCCGAAGAAAUCACUCACCAUUUGUUGCACUUUUACAAUCCUAGUAGAGCCACCAACAAGGACAACAUCAUGAAUGCUACUCUUGUCCAUCCCACUAUCAAUUAUACACUUUUCUACAAUCUCCAUGCACUUGUCGAAGUGAUUCUUGUUGAGUUCCUCAAACUUUGCGCGACUAAUCGAUGAGUAGAAAUCUAUUCCUUGAUUUAAACUCUCUAUCUCAAUGGUGGUCGUAGUAUUGGAAGAAAGUAUCCUUUUUGCUUUCUCGCAAGCAGAGUUCAACCUCCUAAGGGCUCUUGGAUCUCCACUAAUGUCGAUUUUAUACUUCCUCGAGAACUCUUUCACAAAAUGGUUCACCAUUGUAUUAUCAAAGUCUUGUCCCCUAAGGUGAGUGUCUCCUGCAAUCGCCUUAACAUUGAUAGCACCAAUCUCAAAUGUGAGAAUAGACACGUCCAAAGUACCACCACCUAAAUAAAAAAUGAAAACAUGUAUACAUCCAUGAUUAAAAGGUUUCAUGUCAAGACCAUAUGCAAUUGCAUCUGCAGUAGGCUAGUAGAGUCAUUGAUUACUCGCAUAACAUUAAGGCCAACAAUAGCACCCGCAUCUCGAGUAGACUGGCGUACGUUGUGAAACAUUAAAGUAUGUAGGCACAAUUAUAACAACAUCCUUCACUGUUGAUCCAAGGUAAGCUUCAGCAAUCUCGCCCAUUUUUGUCAAUACCAUGGAUGAGAUUUCUUCUGCAGCAAAAUGCUUUUCCUCGUCAUUAUAGUUAACAACAAUCAUGGGUUUGUCAUUGAGUGGUGCAACGGUAUUACAUAGAAAUGUCACCAAGUUGUAACUGGUUUGAAUCUCUCUUGCUGUGUUUUUCAUAAUUUUUUUUAGAAGUAAAAUUAGGGUUGCAAGAUUUAAUAGGAUUUAUAUAUAAAUAUACUAGACUUUUGACCCCUGCGAAGUCUACUAAUAAACACAAACAAACUUAAUAUUCCAAAUAAAAUACUACCUCCGUCCUUAAUUAUAAGAGCCUUUUGAGAAAAAAAUUUGUCCUUUUUUAUAAGACCCUUUUGGUAUUUACAAGUACAUUAAUUAAUUCUUUACCAACGUACCCUUAUUUAUUUUGCAUUUUUUUCUUCAAUCAACAAUAAAUAUUAUGUUGAAAACAUAAAUUAACUCUCUCUCUCUUAAGGAUAAAAUUGUAAAAACAAUAGUAAUUACAUAGAAAUUUAAUACUACAACCAACUUUCUUAAUUUCCGUAAUUUUUGCAAAAAGCUCCUAUAACCAACUUUCUUAAUUUCUUAAUUUUAAUAAGCAAUAAAUUUACCAAUUUCUAUUCUCACUCAUCAAUUCCUGCGGUGAAUACUCCUUUUAAAAAGACAUCAAACUAUAUUUGUUUGAACAAUGCAAAUAACCCAAAAUCCUUCCCAAACAUACAAACUAAUUAAUAUUAUUUAGUCUCAGUGCACAAUCUUUUUUCUUUUUUUUUUUUUUUGCACUUUCUUCUACUAAUAGGAAUAUAAUAUUUGCAUAAAACACAGACAUGCAAUGGACAAAACAUAUUUGAGGUUUACUACAUCAGGAUCUACUUUAUUUGCACAGUUGGAAGCAACAUAUAAAUGAGCCUUCAUAUACAUUAUGCGCAGUAGAAAUAAAUCAAAAGUAUAGCAGAUCUUUCAAAACACAAAACCAUAACCGAAACAGUCAUUAACGGAAACAAAAGGACAACUGACUUGGACAUCAGCAACACAACCGAAACUCCAUAAUCUUUCAAGAGACUUCACUCAUAGGCUUCAACCUUAACAUGCACCAGCUUAGGCUCUUUUGUAACAGAUGCAUCUUCACCAAUCAAAACAAUAUCAUCUAGUGAUUCGACGCUAUCAGCAGAUCGCUUUCCCAAAGAUUUGAUAGUUGGAGUCACAACUGAAUCAAUUGCGGAAACUUCGUCUUUGUUGCUUGAAUUAACCAGCUUUGGCUCUUUUGUAGCAGAUGCAUCAGAACUAAGCACAACAAAAUCAUCAAGUGAUUCCACGCUAUCAGAAGACCACUUUCCCAAAGGUUUGCUAGUUUGAGUCACAGCCGAAUCAGCCGCUGCAACUUCGUUUUUGAUGCAUAUAUAUUUUUCAGUUUGUUGCUGCUAACUACAACCUAUAUAAUUUAAAAAAUCCUAAACUGCAAAAUAAACGAUCGAAACACACAAAAAUAGAUAUUUUUCUAGCAAAACCCAUAUAUAUAUCGGGUGAUAUACACAUUUACAAACAGCAAGUGGAUCCACGUCCCAAUUUAAAGGCCAUAAGAGUCGCGUGGUAACCAUUGAAUGUAACGAGACAUGUUUGUAAACCAAUGUUGUUAAAUAUCGGCCAUGGUCGCGCCUUGAAGGGAUUGCAUUAUUUGAAGAGUCGCUGAUUUUUUGGCAAACACCACGGCUAAUUUGUGAAGGAUGGAGGUUUCAAGGUUUCAUGGCAUUUUAUUAAUGGCUUAAAGUGGCUUCCCGCCUUGGUCCUAUCAUCCAUCACACAUAACACUUUUAUAAACCAUUAAGUUUUUAUAGAAUGCAAUAACAUAUUGGUAACUAAGUUGCAUAGUUAGCAAGCCUAGGUAGGAAGGAUGAUUGCUCGUUGACAGAUCUUUAAUUUGAAAAAAUUUGCAUCAAAAUCUUCAUGAGAAAUCAUAUAAAGGAGUUAUAUACUUCUAUAAGCAAACCAGACAAUUUAUCUAUCUUAAAGUUGACAUUGUUACCCCUUAAACAAUAAUUUUCCCAAUACAAUUUGCAUGAAGUUUUGACUACUAUUUGGCUAAUUGAUAAAAAUUAUAUACCAAUGAAAGAUAAGUUAGAAGAUGACUUAAAAAUUCUACUAGAGUUUCACUAAAAUUGACUAGAACAAGUAGAAGAUAAUUCAAAUUCAAAUUCAUUGAUUAGGGUUUUGGCCAAAAGCCUACAUUUAUAGAAGGAGUGAAUACCCAAAUUCGUCCUUGGAUUUGCACGAAUCGGCCAAAAACAUCUCCCAAUUAGUCGAAAUGCACGCUUAGUCCCUGAAUUUAACAAACGUCAAUCAAAUUAGUCCUUCCGUCCAAAUGCACCGUUAGUGGUGCUGAGUUGUCUUCCUGCAUGGCUUGUUGUCUUGUACACGUGUACAAGGACGAAUUUGAUUGAAACGCACAAAAUUUCAAUUGUACUUUUGAAUUCAAUUUUUCCUGCUUUUCCAAAUUUACCCUUGUAAUACCUAUACCUUUUCAUGAUCACAUUUCAGCAAUUCCAUCAAAAACAUCCCUGACCGUUCUUCUUCCCGCCUAACCCUUCAUCAUCUUCAUCAGCAUCAUCUCCGGCGAGGAACGUUGCAAAAGAGUCAGUUUUGAUAGAAGAUUUCGUCAUUUCAAAAGGUAACGUCGUUCCUGUUCGUUUUCCAUUCAAUCAUGUUUGUUCUCGUUCGUUUUCUCCGUUAAUGCAGAAAAUGUUGGAAAUGUACCAGGAAAUGCAGAAAAUCAUGUUGCUGAAAAUGGUGGAGGUGUUGUAGAAAAUGUUGGAAAUGUUAAUCCUGGACAUGUUGUAGCUGGAAAUGAUGGACAAGCUGCACAAAAUGCCAGUGUUGGAAAUGUUGCAAUUCAGGGACAAAAUGAUGUCAAUGGUGUUGCAAAUGAAGCAGUGCUUAGACAGGUAUGAAUGUUAGAUUCUAAGGAUCGAUUUUCUAGUAAGUGUAGAAAUUCAGGGACUAAUUUGAUUGAAUUUUUUAUUAAAUAGGGACUGAUAUGAUUGAAAAUGUUGUUGCAGUGUGUUCCUGCAAAGAGGUAUGGCAUUAGAGGUCCAAUUAUUUCAAAUGAGAGACCUAAGCAAAUACCAGUGAGGGGUCCUGCACCUGACAUUGUUCGAGUGCCAUAUCCAAAUUAUGGUCCAUCCGGUUCAAGUCAACCUAAGUUCAUGGAGUUUAUCCCAACCCCCGACUUUCCAAAGAAGUGAAGCUUGAUGCAUGCUUAGAUUGUGCUUUUUGGAAUAUUUUGCUUUGUUUACAUUAUGCCCUCUAGUUGGGUUCUUUUUGGCUAUGUAAUAUUUAAGAACAUCAUUUAUGACUUAUGACUUAUGACUUAUGAGAUAUGACUUAUAGUUGAGUUGCUUUUGCCUAUGUAAUAUUUCAAACUUAAGAGAUAUGACUUAUUUAAUGAUAUUUUCAAGGAUGAAGUUGUGUGUUUUGUCAUUUUUAAUUCGUUUGCUGCAAAUAUAUGCAUUAAGGAUCAACUUGAAAAUAUGUUUUUAUAAUUCAAGGACUUAUUUGACGUUUUUUUGAAAUAAUUCAGGGAUCAAUUUGAUGGCAAGUAAAAAUUAAUAUGGACUGUAUUAGAAAAUAUUUUUUGAAAUCAAUCAAUUUCGUCCUUGAAAUUUUUUGUCAUUAUACAUCAAUUUAGUCCCUGCUUAUGUGGCGUCUGACGUGGCAUCCCAUCUGAGAUGUUAACAGCCACGUCAUCCCCGUUAACGCCCCAAAUGGACGUAGGGACUAAUUUGAUUGACGUUUGUUCUGCAACCUUAUUAUCUUCAAGCCACUUAAAGACCAAAUCAACUGCGUUAUUGAUAUUUUCCUUUUCUUUUGACGAAAGCUUCGAGCUAACAUCUGGAUCAUUUAUGGAAUCCCUCAUAUUGUAUGCGUACCUCUCUAGUGCAUUUCUCGCUUCAACCUUCUUCCUAUGCCUCAUGUCUUCAUCUUUGUAUUUCUCAGCUUCUCUUAUCAUCCUAUCAACUUCCUCCUUUGACAGCCUUCCUUUGUAAGGAUUUUCUAUUCUAACUUGCUUGAUUUUCACAUUUAUAACAAUUUCUUAAAAAGAUGCAGGUAUUUUUUGUAAUUUGAUCAUUUUUCCUUUAGAGCAAUUUUUUUUUCAAAAACACGUUAUUCAACCGGUGCGAAGCACUAAUGUCAUAUAUGUUUCUGAGAAUAGGUAGUGUAACGCCCCAGAUUUUGAUCCAAGACAUUACUUAAAAAUGAUAUGUUUCUUUAAAAAAUAUUUGAGUGAAACUAAUAGAAAGAUAAACUGUUAAAAAUAAAUCAAUAAAAAAUUACUCCUUAAUAAUAGAAUUCAAAAGUAUUUUAGAAGUUACAAAUACAACUUAAUGAAAAUUAAUCUUCUUUUACAUUGAAAAACGCAAUUUGCCCCCAAGUACGCUUCGAUCACACAUCAAGCUCAUAUUUCAUCUUUGGUGCCUACAACAUUAUAUUAAUGUAAGGGUCAAUUUCCGUAUCCAAAUUGGUUCAUACUGAAAGCACAAUAAACAAUGCUCUAAAAUAGAUAGUAUAAAAUCUUCUCGAUCAAAAAGAAAUAAAAAUAACAAGCCAUCUUUUAAGAAAAGAACUCAAAUGAAAUUAUGCAUGAGAUGCAUGCUAUGCUCUUAAGUACUACAUGAUCCAGAUAUAAACAAGCCACAAAGGCUAAAACGAGCCACAAAGGCUAUGCAAAUGUUGUGAUAAUGAAACAAGCCACAAAUGCUAUGCAUAUGCCAUGCCAUGAUGAUUAGUUUCAAAAAUUAAUAUUCUAGCCACUUAGGCAAAAGCAAAAUAGAACCCAACCACUAAGGCAACCACACAACUAAAUCAUAAACAAAUUACAUCCUUUUUAUUCUCAAACAUCACAAAGCAAAUAAAACAUAAUAGAAAUCGAUAUCACCUUCUCAUAUAUAAAAUUCAUAAAUAAAUCCAAGCUUUAAUAAUUAUAUUUAUCUUUUAAUUAUUAUUAUUAUUUUUAUUUUCUUUCAAACCGACAAAAAUCUCUACCACUAUUUCAUAAUAAGAUCCUAACACUUAGUAAGAACGUAUGGGGAAAAAGCCCUUACCUUGGUCGUUUCCUCUUUUAACAACAUGAAAAUUUACCAUCGCACGAAAGAUAAGAGUGUGCCCAACGCUAGAAUCACACAAAAUGGAGGAGAAUGACUAAGAAAUAUUUUUGGAUAUACACAAGAUGAUUGUUGUGUGGGAUAUAUGAUAGACUCCAUCUAUUUCUUUCUUUUACUAACUAUUUGAAAUGUGUAACUCUUAGGAAGGUGAGAGUGGUUUCAAAUAUUAAGAGACAAAUAGAUGCAAAGCAAGACACGUUACAAAAUAAAGAUAAUUUAUGGUGAAAAUGAAUUAGUAAUAAAAUCAAAUCACUCGGGUCAAAGGUACUACUAGAGAGAGAGACUCGUAAGACCAACAAAACAUUUAACCAUCUUAAAAUAAUUUAAAGCAUUAUAUAUAAAAAUAUUAAAAUAAAUAGAAUUAUUAAAAAGAACAUAUAUAAAAAUAUAAAAAUAAAUAGAAUUAUUAAAAAGAACAUAUAUUAAAAUAGAAUUAUUAAAAAGAACAUAUAUUAGAUAAAUUGCAUCAACAUUAUUAAAAAGAGUAGAAGCCUGAGUGCAAAUUCUAAUAAGUUUUAGGCCCCGUUUGGAUUGGCUUAUUUUGAGCUUAUGUGUGCUUAUUUAUUUUCAUAAGUUUUUUUAAAGGUGUUUGGGUAAAUAAAUAAAAAUAGCUUAUCAUAGUUUCAUAAGCUGCUUAUGUCAUAUUUUAAUAAGCCUAAAUUUUCAGCUUACCCACCGGCUUAACAAGGAGCUUAUGAAUUUAUGUAACCUCCUUCGAUUCUCUCUGGAUCCACUUUUUCAAAACAUAUAUUUUUAUUUUAUUUUUUUGUUUUUAGAAAAAAAAAACAUAUAUUUUAAUUAUAAUGUUAGUUAUCUUUGGUUGUGCAUGAGUAACAAAAUGGCUAUAUAUUUAUCUUACUAAAGUAACACACGUAACUACGAUUUUUUUUUAAGAAUGAUUUUUAUUAUUUUUUUGUUACAUAACAAAAUGAAACUGAAUAAAAAAAAUAAACUUAACUUGUCUUUUUUUGGUAACAAAUUGUACAUUAAUAUCUAUAUAUAUGGUAAGUUUACAAUCAUAAUUUUCCAAGUUUAUAUUUAUAUUAUUAUACUUUUUUUUAAAAGAAAGCUUAUCAUAUAUUAUUAUACUUGUGUAUAAUGAUGUUUAGACUAUUUAUUUACACCUCGAAUGUUAAUUUUGUCUAAUAAGGAUUUUCUAUUCUAACUUGCUUGAUUUUCACAUUUAUAACAAUUUCUUAGAAAGAUGCAGAUAUUUUUUGUAAUUUGAUCAUUUCUCCUUUAGAGCAAUUUUUUUUCAAAAACACGUUAUUCAACCCGUGCGAAGCACUAAUAUCGUACAUGUUUCUGAGAAUAGGUAGUGUCAUACAUGUUUCUGAGAAUUGAGAAAGAAUUGGCAAAGGUGUUUUGGUUUGGUUAUAGAGAUUGUGAUGCUUUUGUGUAGGUAUAUAUAUCUUGGGGGUUAUUCGACAGUGAAGUAGAAGUUGCAAGGUCCUAAGCACUAAUGAAUUAUUACAUUCUACCUGCACUGAAUUUAUUACAUUUGAUUAUCAAGCUCAUUUGCAAUGCAUCCAACAUGUAUCUCCCUUUUGAUUUUCCAAUUGGUAAGUAAAAUUAUCAUUGUACAGAAUAGAAAGUACAAUGCCUAAAUUGUAGCAUGGACUUUCCUUAGCAAGUUCAAAUAUGUUUUGAUAAAAAGUAAGCAAUCAGAUAUUUUGAAAAUGUGAUCACAAUCGUGGAUUUAGAAGAAUAUAAAUCAAUGCGAUCACUGAGUUUGAAUAAGGAUUUGUCACUGUCAAUCCUUCAUAAAUGUUGUUUUUUGAUACACUAAAAAACCAAAAGCAAUUUAUGAAUUAUAUUGGAGCCUGUGACUGUUAAUUUUCGUGUAGUGUAGAGGAGCUCAAGUUAUUUAGUAUGAUCAUGAUGAUGUUAAUUAACAAAUAUGAGGAUUUGUAUUAUUCAGUCUAUGUAUAUUUGUUUAGAUUACAUAAUAUGUGCACUAUUUGGCUGUGUUUCUUAUCUAGUGCGGUAACAUUUUGGGAUUGGCUUAGGACACUUGGAUUUUAUCUUAAGAAAUCAGUUUCAUUUGACUUAUUCAAACAUGUAGUAAGGAUUAAAAAUAAAAAUAAAAACAGUAUUCAACCCGUGCGAAGAACGCGACCUUCGUUCUCAAAAUUACGAAGAAUAAGAAUGUUCCGUAAUUUGAACAUCCCUCUUUUAGAGAAAUUUUUUAAAAAAAUACAUAAUUUAACCUGUGCGAAGCACGGGUUUGUAACUAAUUUAUCUAUGAAAAUGGUUUUGGGUUUUCUUUGAAAUAGGAGAUUCUUGGAAAAAUUGGAGUUUAUGUGGAAAAAAUUGGAGUUGCAUUGGAAAAAUAGGAGUUGAUUUGGAAAUUCUUCGAUAAAAUAAUAUAAAGAGGCUGUUCAUGUGCUUCUCUCUUUUAACUCUUCCAUUUUCUUUUUUAAUUCUAGAAAUAGAGUGUGACAUUUAGAUUUUUUAUAAAUAAAAAAUUACACAACUGACAUCGUCAUCACUUAAGUGAUUCAACAAGAUGGUUUAACGGUACAAUUUAACGGUAAAAAAUUACACAAGUGACAUCCUCAUCACUGACAUUGUCACUUAAAUUUGAAAUUUCACGGUACAAUUUGAAUGAAGGUUUAACUUUUUAUAAAGUCAAUCAUUACAGAAGAAACUAUUCCGGUGAUGUCACCUGUUGUAGCUGCAUACACUGUCUCGAAACAAUAUUUGGCUAAUAAUGGUAACCAACGAUUCUUUUUUUUGUUCACGGGAUGUCCAACCAUAGUACCUUCUUGCACACAAUGUCCCUCAUCCUUUAUCAUCUUUAUAACAAUUGGAUCAAACACACUUGAAAGAAUGCUACUAUAAUGUUCAAAAUCUUGUUGUUCUGCAACCACAUUAACGUCAAGCCACUUAAAGACCAAAUCAGUUGCGUUAUUGAUGUUUGCCUUUUCUUUUGACGAAAUCUUCGAGCUAAUAUCCGGAUCAUUUAUGAAUUCCCUCAUAUUGUAUGCGUACAUCUCUAGUGCAUUUCUCGCUUCAACCUUCUUCCUAUGCCUCAUGUCUUCAUCUUUGUAUUUGUCAGCUUCUCUUAUCAUCCUAUCAACUUCCUCCUGUGACAGUCUUCCCUUGUCAUUUACUAUUUUAAACCUUUUAUCAAUUCCCGAGGCUUUUUCCGUAACAGAGACGUCUAAGAUGCCAUCAUCGUUAAUUUGGAAGUUGACCACGAAAUGUAGAACACCUUUUGGACGUGGAGGAAUUUCAAACUCAAAAGCUCCUAGCAAGUUGUUGUCCUUAGUUAUUUGCCUCUCACCCUCAUAAACAUGAAUCGAAAUAACUUUUAGGUUGUCUUCAGCUGUGGUGAAUGACUUUUCCCUAUUGGUAGGAAUCGUGGUAUUCCUAGGAAUUAUUACGCCCAUGAGGUCCCCUUUCAUAUUAAUUCCAAGGGACAAAGGAUUGACAUCCCUCAAUGUCAAAUCUUGAAACUUUUCACAAAUCGCACCACUUGCUAUAAAAGCAUGGACAGCAGCGCCAUAUGCAACCGCCUCAUCUACAUUGAUGUUUUUACAUAACUCCGUCCCACUACCCUUAUUAAUUCCAAAGAAAUCAAUCAAACGUUGUUGCACUUUUACAAUCCUGGUAGAGCCGCCAACAAGCACAACAUCAUGAAUUUUACUCUUCACUAUCCCACUAUCUUCUAUACACUUUUCUACACUCUCCAUGCACCGGUCAAAAAGACUCUUACUGAGAUUGUCGAAAAUUCCACGACUAAUCACUGAGGAGAAAUCUUCACCUUUAUAUAAACAAUCUAUCUCGAUGUCAGUCUUAUUAUUGGAUGAAAGUGUACAUUUUGCUCUCUCGCAAGCAGUCUUCAGCCUCCUAAUGGCUCUUGGAUCUCCACUAAUGUCGAGUUUAUGUUUUCUCAAGAACUCUUUCACAAAAUGGUUCACCAUUGCAUUAUCAAAGUCUUGUCCCCCGAGGUGAGUGUCUCCUCCAGUGGCCUUAACAUUGAUAUCACCAUUCUCAAAUGUGAGAACAGACACGUCCAAAGUACCACCACCUAAGUCAAAAAUGAAAACAUUUCUACAUCCAUGAUUAAAUGGUUUCAAGUCAAGGCCAUAUGCAAUUGCAGCUGCAGUAGGCUCAUUGAGUAUUCGCAAAACAUUGAGGCCAGCAAUAGCACCCGCAUCUCGAGUAGACUGGCGUUGUGAGUCAUUAAAGUAUGCAGGCACAGUUAUAACAACAUCCUCCACUAUUGAUCCAAGGAAGGUUUCUGCUAUCUCGCGCAUUUUCACCAAUACCAUGGAUGAGAUUUCUUCAGCAGCAAAAUGUUUUUCCUCGUCAUUAUAGUUAACAACAAUCAUGGGUUUGUCAUUCAGGUCACCAAUUACUUUGAAUGGCCACAACUUCACAUCACUUUGUACUAUGGGAUCACUAAAUUUCCGACCAAUUAGCCUCUUUGCAUCUACAAAACAAAAGAGAGUUGUGUACACUAUGAAAAACAAUUGGAUCGCUUUAUGAAUUAAUCAUUCUAUGUGGAUUUGAAUAAAUCCAUAUAUAUAUAAAUAGGAUAACUUUAAUAUAUAUAGCUUGUAUAGAAAAUACUAUUAUAUAUUUAACCCCGUAAGUAAUACAAUCUUGGGAUUUUGGUCCCUUAUAAAAAACAAUAACAAAUCAGCUCCUAUGUUUAUCCUCUUUUGCACUUUUGGCCUUCCGACCAAUUUUAAUCAAAUUAAUGCAUAUGUGACACCCAUAUCACUUUAUUUAUUAGGUUUAAUUGCAGUUUUUCCCCCUAAGUAUCAUAAUCUUGCGAUUCUGGCCCCUUAAAAAAAUAUAAAGUCACACGUGGCACCCCCUUUAAAUGAUAUGUGGCCAAAAUCGUAAAAUUGUGAUAUUAAGGGAUCAAAAUUGAAACUAAGCCUAAUAUGUAUUGUUACAACGUGAAAUAACUUUUUAUUGGAUAUUUUCAUUACAAAGAGAACUCUUUAUUUUGCUUAUGAACUCGUGGGAUACACAAAAAUUGUAUUAUCAUGUAUAAAAAUAAAACUAGUACUAAUCUAUCACGUCUUUGAAUGAACUUUGAGUUAAAAUACUCUUAUUAAAAAAAAAAUCAUAUAUAUAAGCCACAGUUGCAUAAUUCUCUUACAAAAUAAUCAUGCAUGUGUUUUCUUAAAAAUUUAGUAGAAAGUAACGAACAUUGUCGAUAUGCUCAUGAACUUUACUAAUAAUUUUGUUAAGCUUUUGAAGAUCUAUUAAUAUAAAAUAAUAGUGGUCAUUCAUCAUGAGUUAUUGCUUUAAAAAAAACAAAGAACCAAAACUUUCAAUAAUCUUUACUUCUAAUUUUCAUAUCAGAUAGAUUAUUGAAAAGAAAUAUUUAGUUUCUCUUCUUGUUAAUUUCUUUAUAUUGUAAUAGAACCGAAAAUACAUAUUAAUAAAAAAUAUAUCAAAUACACCUACUAAUACUAUCACACUUCAAAAAAUAACCGAAAAUACAUACUACUAAAAAAAAAGGAUUAAAUAUGUUUUUUAGUCCCUAUAAAUAUACCAUAUUUUUUUAAUAUUAAAUGAGUCCUCGUAUAUUUUCUCAUAAAAAUUACUCAACUUUUUAUUUUCUUUAAAAAAAAUGAGUAACCUAUUUCACUAUAUUUUAGCGUUAUAAAAUAAAAAGUUAUAAUAUGUAGUAACAAAUUUAAUCAUAAAAUAUUUGCAACAAACUAAAGUUGGAUGACGUCUUCAAAAUAACUAAAGAGUGCAACAUCAUAGUUUGUAACUCUAACAUGUUUUGAUUUUUAAUAUAGAGGAUGUGUCAAUUUUAAAAAUUUGACUUUGAUUUUCAAUAUAGAGGAUGUGUUGUAUCAAUUUUAGAAAUUAGACUUGAUUUAUAACAAAAACAUAUUUUUAAAAGAAAGAUUAUAACCAAAACCUUUGUUAUUCUCCUUCCUCCCUAUGAGAAUGAGAAUGAAAAUAAAAAUAAAAAUAUGAACAUUAUUGGGUAAGUAAGUUUAUUGGAUCAAUGUCUGGUUUUACUCAAAACCCGUUAUUUUUUUUUUAUAGAUUUUUCAUUUUUUAAAACCAUAUCCACUCAAUCAUCCAACCCAUUUUUUUGGAUGGAUUUGAGGGAUUUUUUUGGGUUGACUCAACCCAUUUAAUAUACACCCAUAAAACCAUAAGGAAAGGCAUAAAAUUAUUACUCCCUCCGUCCCAAAUUGUAUGUCACUUUAGAAAAAAUAUUUGUCCCAAAUUGUAUGUCGCUUUACAAUACCAAUGAAAAAUUAAUGUUACUUUUCCUAUUAUAUCCUUAACUAUUUAUUACUCUCUCUUCUUUCAAUUCCUUCAUUUAUCUUUCUCAUAUCAUUUAUUGAGGAUAAUUUUGUAAAACAACUCAUAAUAUCUCUUUCCCACACAAUAUUAAUUACAUUUCUUAAUAUGUGUGAAAUGCCCAAAACGUCAUGCAAUUUGGGACGGAGGGAGUAAAUGUAUAACAUCUAUCGAGACAAAAUAUGAUAGUUUACCUCUAUCAGAUAAAAUUAAUUGCACUAUUCUUAAUAAUUACUACUCCCUCCGUUCCAAAUUGUAUGUUGCUUUAGGGAAAAAAAUUUGUCCUAAAUUGUAUGUCGCUUUACAGUUACUUUUUCUAUUAUAACCUUAACUAUUUAUUACUCUAUCUUAUUUCAAUUCUUACAUUUAUUUUUCUCAUAUUAUUUAUUAAGUACAAGUUUGUAAAACAACUCAUAAUAUCUCUUUUCCACACAAAAUUAAUUAUAUUUCUUAAUAUAUGUGAAAUGCCCAAAACGUCAUACAAUUUGGGACGGAGGGAGUAAUAUUUAUGUAUCAUAACCCCUUUCAAAAAAGAUAUUUCUGUAUCUUAAUAAUUAAAAUUUCUAUUUAUUUAAAUAUAAUUAAAUUUAAUUCAUUUUAAUAUAUGAAUUUUCUGCCAAUUUUUUUAUAAUAUAUCAAGUAGAUAUAACACUUAUGUUCCCACACCUACGCUUCACUCUUCUUUCAUACUAGUAUAUUUUAUUUUUUAUUUCACCCUUUUCUCUCCUUUUAUAGAAAAUUAUCAAAGAAUUCGAUUAAAGUACGAUCCAUGAAAGAUGAAUCUUCCAGAUCGUUUACUGUCACUGUUUGACCGCAUGUUCUUCCUAUUCUCUUCCGACAUUUUUCUACCAAAACAUGUUUUAUGAAAGCAAACUACCUUUUGUUUUUGGAAUGAGAAAGGAACUACCUUUGAAAUGGGUUAUUUUUAUGUGUUUGAUAUAUUUUCAACCAGUGAAAACCACCUUUAGACACAACUCCACCACCACUAAAUUCCUCUUCUACAAUUUAAUUUCAUGAACAUUUGGAAUGUACUCACUUCGAUUACUAUUAUAAAUAAAAAUCAAUUUUUUAGAUUCAUUUAUUAAAUUAUGUAUUUGAUCUAUAAUUAGUAAAGUCAAGAAUAAUUGAGUUUAGAAGCUUUUACCGAAAAUAGUGUUUGUUGGGUUCGAAGCAGCUAUAUUGAAAGCAGCAUCACCAAUCAUUCUUUCAGAGUCUUUGAAUGCAACAAAAGAAGGUGUUGUUCUCUUCCCUAGGUCGUUCACUAUUAUAUCUAUCUCUCCAUUCUUACACACUGCAACACAAGAAUAGGUUGUUCCUAGGUCGAUUCCUAUUGCUACUUUCUUACCUCUUCCUGACAUUUCUUUCUUUGCAAUCACUCACAGGUAACAAAGUUUUGAGUAGAAAAUAUAGAACGAUGAGUUUUGAGAAUAAAUUGUUGUUUGAGCUGUUUCAUUAAAUGUAAAGAUUUGUGCAUAUAUAUAAUAAUAUUAGUCUUACUAUCACAAAGUAGUACGUGUAAAAUUUCAACAUUCUCUCAACUUAUAAGUGAAUAACAAAAGUUUAAUAUAUAUUUUUUUUAAAUAGACAAAAUGACAAAGUCAUCAUAAACUCGCAUACACGAAGUAGAAAUAUUAGGAUUCGAACCCCAGUUAUAACGUCUGACCUAACAAAAAGUAGAAAUAUUGGGAUUCGAACCCCGAUUAUAACGUCUGACCUAACAAUUUGUCAUUUUUUGCUAGUUGAACUAUGACUUAUGUGACACAAAAGUUUAGUAUUUUUUUUUUUUAUUUGUCGAGAAAAGUUUAGUAUUCUACUAAUUGAUAAAUGCUAAAAUAUAGCCAUGGGCACUUAUUAGCAUAUGACCCUUGAUAAAUUAAAAUCACUCAAAAAUAGAAGGAUUCAAAUUAUUCAAUUAAUAAUAUUUUUUCCGUCUCAAAUUAUAAAUCCUUUUAAAAAAAAAUUGUUUUAAAUUAUAAAUCAUUUCAUAAUACCAAUAAAACGUUAAUUUAAUUUUUCAAAUUAUAAUUUAAACUAUUUAUUAAGUAUUUUUAUAUCUAAUAAUUUUUUAUACUAUUUUUUCGAGGGACAAAUGAGUCAACAAAAUUGUUGUAUCUAUUUUAUAAUAUGUACUAAAUACAUUAAUAUUUAUUGAUCUAUUUUUCUCUUACAAAAAGAUCAACAAAAGUGUUUAUUAAGGAGAUUAUUAGAAAUGUCCUAAGCAUAUCACUUUCAGCUAGAAUUUAAAUAACCUUAUCGUUUUGAAAUAACAUAAAGUUAUUGAUGUUCUAUAGUAAUUUAUUUGGUGAUAAGCAUAUCAAGUGAGGUAGGAGAGAUGCAUCAUAUCAGUGAGCUGUAGGCAAGUGGAUAAGUUGAUUUUAAAGCAUAUGAUUAUUUGGGGUGUACAACAUCACGUCAAUUGGAGCCUCAUCUUUUGAGGAAAUAUCAGUCUUAUCUUAUGUUAUCUUUUGGAUUGAAUGAGACCCAUAUACCCAAGUAGUCUUAUGUUAUCUUAUCAAAAUGACUCCAUCAACCAAUAAACAUUCAUUAAAAGCCUUACCCAGUGGCCCUCAUCCAACAAAUAUUCUUUUAUGAACACAAUUUCUCAUUAGAAAAAACACAGAUUUAUUUUUAAAUAAAAAAAUGAAACUUUUCCUUAGUACAAACAAUCCAACCACACACUGUCCAAUCCAACCACACACUACAAUACGAAUGAAUUUUCACUUUAUCCAACAACUGAUCAAUACUGUUUUUCUUGUGGCUAAAUAGUCUAUUAUUAUGUUCCACAUGAAAGACAAAUGAGCUGCAUAAAAGAUCGCUGCGCAACCAACCCACCUGUAGAAUAAGUAAACUGAACAAAAUGACCAGAAAUACUAUAAGGAUCGGUCAUGGAAACACCUAUCCAAUCACGGACUAAAUGCCAAAGAUCCCUGAUAAUUGUACGAGAAAGAAAUAAAUAUUGAGCCGUUUCGAUUUCUCCACACCUGGUCAUACACAAAUGCGUGUCAUGAUUUAGGAUUCCAUGCAUCACCAAAUUUUGGACAAUACCGUUGCCUAAGGAAGAAAGGAGUGUCGAAGGAAGAAUUCAACCUGAAGGUUGAAAAUCAGAAGGAAAUUAAGAAGCCUUAAGGACAGGGGCUACCGAGCACAAGUUAGACAUAUCUGUCAAGCUCAUGACAUAAAAAACGCGCUCAAUAGGAGACAACCUAUUCCGUCAAGCUAAGGACUCAAAAGAAGCGUUGAAUAUAAGACAACUUAUUGAUCGUCGGGACUAAGACAUUAAACAAUCGCUAAAUGGGAGGCAACCCAUUAGUUUAUCUUUUCUGCAUUUCUAUUUUUUGCUAAGUUAUGAUUUCCUAACUAAUGUCAUUUCUUAUUCUGCUACUAAUACUUAAGUUUUAUCUUAUAAAAUUGUAUUUUUUUUUUUUUUUUUGCAUUUACAAAUACAACAAUUUCUUUUAUGCUUUAAUUUUGUUUUAGUUUUAGGAAGUCACUUCAAAGUGUUCACAGUGGAGGCUAGUUUACUUCAAGAGCACAAUACUUUUUGGGGCUUGCUACUGAAGGUACUUAUAGGAUCAACAUCUCUUUUCUGAAUGCUAUUUUUUCUCGAAUUUGCUGUCGUUCUUUACGGACGAUCAGUUAAAAUAUAAUAAACAUAAGACAUUUUUUUCUUUGGUACCUUGAUACUUUCAAGCCACCCUUUUUAUAUUCUUAUUAUCCUUUUUGAAACCACUUUGAGCCUUCAGAAGAUAUUUCUUUCUUAUUACUAAGUGACGAAUCAUGUCACAGUCCUGAACUUUAAAAUCACCUUGUUUGAUUUCUCUUGGAGUUAGAUAUGAUAUUAUCUUGACUGUGUAUGGUUUGAUGCUUAGUUUGACGUUGCUCUUUGGAAUUAACAACAUUUUAUGUUUGGGGUGGGGUAAUGAUGGUCGGAUUAGGCAAGUGUACCCAAUCGUUUACCGAGUACUAAAGUGAUAAGUAGAGUAUCGUAUCCACAUGGGUUGUCGUUUCUUCGAAAUAAUUCGUGUUACUUAUUUUAAAUUGACGAUAUAAAAUAAAAGAGAUAAGGGUUAGAAAUUGCAAUUUUUAUAAGUUUGCAACAUAGCAAGUUACCUGUUUUUUGUUACAUAAAAGGAAACAGCGGUUAGGACUCUUUAAAUCCCCUCUAUUUACUUUGUUGGAUAUUGAAUAACAUUCAUUAAUAGACUAUACAAGUGAUGAGAUUGUUGGGACAUUCUAGCCUAAUCGGUUGUCAAGUUGCACCUGCUUAUCGCACAGUGAUCCUUACGUGUGGGGUCUAUACUAUCUCGGUUGAUUUAGGUUUAUCCCUCUGAUGGCUAACUGCACUUGACGAUCGCACAGUGAUCCUUACGUGCGGGGUCUUGCUAAUUCAAAGGUAAUUGAAACAUAUACUUAAAUUGGCAUUCCAGGUUUUCCAAAGGCAAUGAAGGCCAAUGUUGCAGUAGGUCAGCCCAUCUGUUAAUCUUAGGACACUCAUAACACACUCUCAUUUUCCCCUAAGUAGUUAUACAAACGAGCAGCCCUAUCAACAUCUACCUUACCUAGAGGUCGGGGACAAUGGUUUUAUUUAGGUUUAUUUCUCUUGGUGUUUGUUUCCCUAAUUACUAAACUAGCUACAUCCGAGGUUCAACAUAUUUUACUCAAUAUUAAUAAUGUCACAUCCUAAGUACCUACUACUAGGGUCAACUCUCUUUUGGUAUCUUUCGCUAGUUUACUAAUCAUCUACUUUCUAGACGGAUAAUUACUAGUAUAAGGAAAUAAAUAUCAAGAUAUAAGCAUCCAGAUAGUAAUAGAAAUGUCAAGCCCUCUCACGAAGUAAGUAUCUAAUCUAGGGUUGCACCCCGCCAUAAUAUAUUAAUCUUAAGCAAAACUUAACAGCAAAUAAAAAAUAUAUUAAAAUAAAAUGACAUUAAAUUAAAUAAUUAUCCAACAAACGCAAACCGAUGUUCAUCUUAGAACCCUAACCUAUAGAUAUCUAGUUACACAUGAUAACUAAGACAAAAAUACAAAAAGAUAAAAAUAUAUCCUAGAAAAUAUAGGAGAAGAUAUAACUCCUCCUUGACUCCUAUAAUAGCCUUCCUAUUGAACUGCUCAAGUUCUGAACGAGAAAUUGUGAAUGAGGAAGACUAUAUUUGUAUAGAAAGUUUUCACCUAACUUGGACUAAAAUCACAAACUUCUAGGGACGAAAAAGUCACGAAAAAUGAUUUUUUUCGCAAAACUCAUGUGUCCCGCGCCUAGAGUCAUGCGCCUAGCGCAUGUGCCUGGAUCUUUCAUGCGCCAGGAGCUUACAAAUUGCUAUGAAUGUGGCAAGUCUUAUAAAAGCUAAUCUUAUUAUCUAAUCCUAAACUACAAUGCAAACAAAACAUCAAAAACCCUAAUCCUAUGUUUUGAGUGGGAAACUAAUGCUUUAACCUCACUUAAUGCCAUUUUUGAAUUUCAAAUCAUGUACCCUUUUGGAAUGUGUGCUCAUGUGGCUAAUUAAAUGCAGAUUUUGAAAUUCAAAUAUCCCACCUAUUGGAAUUGUGCUCCCUUCUUUCCAAGACAUGCAGUUACCCACUUCCCAAUGCAAAGGAAUCUGAACCAAACAACUACUUCCUUGCAUUUUGCUCUCUCUCCCCUUUCACGCCCAUUUUUCUCUCUGUUCAGAAAAAGUCAUCAAUUUUCAGUCCCUCUUAUCUUCUCUCUCACUUCAGUUCCUCUCUAAAAAAAGCAUCUUCUCUUCUCACACUUUAUUUCUUUUCUUCAUUUUCCGACAUUCUUCUUCAAUUCUCCCUUUCUCUCUCAUUGUUUCUCGCAUGGCUCUUCGUGUCUUAGGUUUGGGUGUUCUCUUCAUCGCCGGCCAGCCUCACCAAGGCAAUAAGCAUCUUCAAGUUUUAUUGAAGGAAAAUGCUUCUAUGCAACAAAAUUUAUAUGAGCUUCGAUCCCUCGGGUAUGCGUUUUCAGUUUCGUUACAUUUUGAUAUCGUGAUUAGGGUUUUGGUAUCACUGGUGUUAUUUUGAUUGAUUUUUCCGAUUUGAUAGGAAGGGAGCUUGAAGAAGCGGGAGUUCUUAGUGAAUCGGCACAGUCGCGGAAGGUUUUUCUUUUCAUCAACGAUCUUCUCUCUCAUUCGCUGCUCUUCGAAUGUAGUGUUUAAAGAAAUUUUUUGAAAUGUGUAGACACGAAAAACUUCCAUUAUUAUUAAAUUUAAAGUUAUGACAUUUGAAAAUAUGUGAUGUAUUUUUGUUUUUCUCUAAUACAUUUACAUUGCCGCACGGAUGAAAAGUCUAGAUCGACCACCCUUGCCUAAAAUUUUUGUAAUUUACCAGCAUGAUUUUUUCCCUUUUUAAAUUGUAUUAUUAUUUUUUAACAUUGUAUUUGCACAAACAGAUUAUUAGUUACAAUAUAAUUAAAUGUUUUUUUGCCAUCAAUAUGACCCGUGCAGCAGCACGGGUGCAAGGUCUAGUAGCAAGCAAUCCUACAAGUUGAAAGGAAAGACAAGAGGAUGAAGGCUGACAUUUCAUGGGUAGAUGAAACUAUGGAAGCUUUUAGAAAAAUAAUUUCUCAAAAAAAUUAUCAUGCAUCUCAUGUAAAUGAGCAUAUUGUAUAUAAGUAUAUUGAAUCUUCUAAGGUUUUAUUUUUUAUUUUUUUAGGGAUGAAUCUUCUAAGGGUUAUCAUAAAUUUUUGGAUGUCGAAUAUUGUGAUGGUUUUACUAGCAUACAUAAAGAGAUAUUAUCAUUAAAAAGCAAACAAGAACACGCCUAUAAACCUCAAAUAGAAUUUGCUACGAAGUCAAAUGGUGUUACACCUUCUUUUAAAAAACCUUACAAGAAAUACUCUUAUGUUAAAAAUAUUGAUAGCAAAUCCUAUGUCAUUAUUGUGGUAAAAUGGGACACACCACACUUCAUUCUUACAUUAUAAAAAUUGAAGUUUUUAAGGCUUUGUUUGAGAGUUUGGAAGGGAAGGAAAGGAAGGGCUUUGAGGGGUGCAAAAUAUGAGGAUAAAUAGAGAAAUUCUUCAAAAUUUUUAAAAGAGUAGUUUUUUAGAUAAUGAUAAAUUAAUGCAUAUGAUUACUUUAUUUUUAAUUUUAAAAAUAUUAUGACAACAUAGAUUAAAUUUGAAGAAGGGUUUUGUAUUAUGGAGAAAAGUUAACCAUAAUGAGGAGGGUCUUAUUAACCCUCCAAAACCCUCUACCAAUACAAUUCUUUAGUUCCUCCAAAUGAGGAGGGUUUUGUAUUAUGGAGAAAAGUUAACCCCCCAAAGCCCUCCUUCCCAUUUUCCUCUAUUUCUUCUACUUGCUCAUUCCUUUUUUCCCAAGCCUUCCCCUCCAAACUCGUAAACAAAACCUAAAGAAAUCAUGAUGUCAGUCACAAAGGGGUAAAGAUCCCCUCCAUUUAUAAAAAGAAAUAGAAGAUACAAUUUGAAAAGAGAUAAACACAAAAAAUAGUUGUUGAGUCUCAAUACUAAGUGGAUUCCACCAUCAUUAAUUAUUUUUUACUUUUUGUGUAUUUUUAUCUCUCUAAAUGGAACUAAUGAAAAAAAUUAUAAAUGAAGAAGAUCUUAACCCGUCACAAAGAGUCCCAUUUAUACAACCACAAAAAGGAAAUAUUUUUGCUCUUUACCCAACAAUUUUUGCUCAUUCCCAGCUGAAAUGCCACUACUUGAGUUAACUCACGUUAGUGUAAAAUUUGUGUGAGUUAAAACAUGCAGUGUGAGUUAACUCACGUUUAGUAAUAUGAUUUUUUUUUUUUUCCGAAUUUAUUUAAUAAUACGCAAGGAAGGAAGGAAGAAAGGAACAUAAAUAAUACAAAAUAUUAUUUAGAUGACAAAAUCAUAAAAUAAAUGCUAAUAUAAAUAAAUAAAAAGGAAGAAAGGAACAUAAAUAAUACUUAUAAAACCUCAUUUUAUUAAUUAUUGAUACAUUUACAAAAAUUGUUACAUUUUAUUCGAAAUUAUUAAAUCUGAAUCUUUGAGGUAAAAAGAGACCAACCAUGGGAUAACAGAGAAUCAAUGUUGGGGAAAAAAGAGACCAACCUGCUUGGGGCAAAAGGAUAUCAAUCCUUGAGGUAAAUCUAAAUCUGGUUUUUUUUGAUACCCCAAGAAAGAGUCUUUUUACCCACGGUAAAAAAAAUUUGGGGUAAAAAGAAGCAAAUUUACUUUUACCCCAAGGGUUGACCUCUUUGUGCCGCCAAAUCGGUUGGCCUAUUUUUUCCCCUCCCUUGACCUUUUUUUACCCCUCGAUUGACCUCUUUUUACCCCGAAAAAAGCUAAAAAAACAAAGACUAUAAAGGUGAGAGAGUGAGGAGGAGGAGAGAAUGUAUGGUGUGAGGAAAUUGUGAGUUUUGGAGGGGUAUUUAUAGGGAGGAAUGGGUAACGUAGGUUUUAUAUGCACUAAAUGCAGUCAAAAAAGUUAAAAAAAAAAGUGCAAAAAUGGAUUAAAAUCAAGGUUGAAUAACUAACCACCGUCCAAAAAACGUGUUCUUGGUGCAUGAAAAAUCGGCCACAAUAGCGUGAGUUAACUCACGCUAGUGUUAUAAUCUGCGUGAGUUAACUGAAGAUUUGCAUUUCCCCUAUAAAUAUUCUUUCAACCUUCACCAUUUGUCACAUUCUCUCCUCCUCACUCUCUCCUCCUCUUCCUUCUCCGAUAUUUGCAUUCAUUUUGUAGAUAUAUCUCAAAAACAGGGUGAUGCUGCUCAAUUAAAAAAAGAGGGCGAGAAAAAGAAAGCUAAGUCGACUUUGACAUGGCACGAAAUCAAAUGUGAUGGUUCCGUUAAAAAAAGUGAUUUGAAACCAUUCCAGACUGAGGAGGAGCGGAAUGACAUGUUAUUUUGGUCCUCAACCAAAAGCAGGUGCCACUAGGAUUGUCGAGGACAACCCAAUUGACUUAAGCGACGAAGGAGAUAAUUAAUGUAAUGACUUGUAAUAAAGUUGGAUGUUUUUCUACAUUCCUUUCUAAUGUAAUGGCUUGAAUAAUUUUGAAUAAAGUUGCGUUUUGAUUUAAAUUACGUAUUAACUAACUAACACUAGCGUCAAUACACAGAAAACAUAACUAGUGUGAGUUAACUCACUCAGGGAUAAUAUGGUCUUUUCAGUUGGGAGCGAACAAUUUUUGUUGGGUAAAGAGCAUAAUUCAAAAGGAAAAGAAACCUAGAUGAUAGUUUUUCAAGGCACGUGACAGCAGAUGCAUCUAUGCUGAUUGAUUUUCCAAGAAAGGAGCGUGGAUAUGUCCCAUAUGUUGAGAAUAAUAAAGGCACAAUUUUAGGUAAAGGUUUUGUAGAAAGAUAAAUGCUAGCAACACUUACUUUUCAACACUCUCCUCCAACAAUGUUAUUAAAGAUGUUAUCCAUGUUGAAUGAUUUAAACACAAUCUUUUAUGCAUAAGUCAAUUUAAUGAUAAUGGGUAUUUAAUUACUUUUAAUAUCAAAGUUGCAUAAUUGAGCACAAUACUAAAAAGGAAAAUGAGUGGAAAAGGAGUUGACGAAUCAAUAAGUGAGAGGGACUAACUCCAAAAAAAAAUAUGACAAAGGGUCAAAUCCCAAAAAAGCAAAAUUGACAAAAUCUUUAAUCCUUUCAUCUUCUCAAACACUACUCUUAACAUUUUCUCCAUUAUCUUUGUCCAAAAUCUUUCAUAUUCAUACCUAACACCUCUUAAUCUUCAUCUAGAACUGAAAAUCCAUAAUCUAACAACCCAAAACCAUCAUCAACAUAAAAAUCAUAAAUUACCACAAAAGUUUACAACCAAAUAGACGAAAGAUUUAGAAAGAAAAAAAAAUUAACAACAAGAUAAAAUGAUUUGCUCUCUCAACCUUAAUAUUUGUUUGCAUUCAUCUUUAAGUUUAACAACAUUUUUCAAAGAAACUGCUUCAAAUGCCACAUUAAACCACAUUGAAGCACAAAAACCAUCUAAAUUUACAAACACGGUUCCUAUAGUGUAAUUCUUAUUAUAGCCAACAGAAACUUCAAUUUCUUCAUCCCAUUGGUUGGUCAUUUCUAAAAUAAUGGAAUCAAUUUAGAACCAAAUGUUGUAACUCUUCAUGGAAAUCUUUCAUAUACAUUGGAACAUUUGGCAAAGGGGUACUUAAUGAACCUUAGCCUUGAUUCAAGUGUAUAUGAUCAUAACCUUUGACAAAGGGAUGUUUAAUGAACCAUAACACUGAUUCAAGUCAAAUGGGUGUGUUCUCCCAUGUGAAGGCUCAUAUAAUGACAUAGAAAUAAUUAUUGGCAUUUGGGAAUUAUUUGGACAGAAAAAACAUGAAUUUUGUUACAAUAAUAACAUAAUUCUCUCUCAUUCUCUUACUCUAAAUCAUCAAUCAAUUCUCUAAUGCAUGAGUAAAUUGCUGAAACCAUAAACCUGUAAAAUACUGUUAGGAGAUACAUUUGGUGUGGUUGUGUAAUACACAUCAAGGAACUCAUAAUAUCUUGAAUGGGAUUCACUGAUCAUUCCCAUCACAUCCAAUAUACAGUUAUUGGUGGGGCGAAUCGUGUAACACCCCGUUUUCCCAACUUAUAAGUUUGAACAAUAAUCAGAGUAAAACGUCACAUAAACGGGAUAUCGCACUUCUUAAAAAUCUCAAAUAGAUAAAUAACAAUUUAUCUUUCAAAGUAAACUUCAACGUAAACGCAGCGGAAUUAAUUCGAAAACCAUAAAUUGUCUUGGCACGCAGGCUUCAUCAAAUCACAUCAUAACUUCAGUUCAACAACAGUAAUCAUAAUUUCAAAAGUUAAUACAUAAAGGAAUAGAAGCAUGCAAUCAAAGACCCCAUCCCGUUACGUAUCAGAGCAACCUAAGACUCAGUGAGGCAAGGCCACUCACGACAGCACUGAUACAAAAUUAGCAAGUGUACUAAAAAUAUAUCGAAGUAAUAAAAUUUAUAAGUUCAUAUCCACAGGGACUGUUUCAAUUUCUACUUGGAAAAAACGUUAAAAUAAAGGAUGUAUUAAAUUCAAGAGUUCCCUAGGCAGUUGAGUUGAUUUUUGUAACAUAAACGUAAUAAAAACAAUAAAAGUUGGUUUUUAGAAAAUUAGAGAAAGAACUAGGUCUUUUGAAUCAUCUAUUCAUCACUCAUUAGUAAUCUGCACCUAAAUCGUAUGACUGUUAUUCAGUUUACAACAAUUAACAAAAUAGCUCAGGUCAAUCCCUUGACUCAGAGCCCUCUUUUCUAAUUAUAAUUCCCUAAUUCCUUAGGUGAACCUAUAAUCAUCAAAGGUUUUAAGUCCGUUAAUUUUAUAAUCGCAACCUAACAACUUUCCAUCCCUAGAUUGUCCGUGAACAGCAUAAAUAAAUCUGAGUUAUAAGCUGGUGUCAGCAGUCCUAUAAUCUCUAAUAUCAAUUAUAUUGAGUCAGAAUCAUAAAAGCAUUACACACAAUUUAUACCGAAUAAACUAGAAUAACUUUCAUAAUAAUUCAGAGCUACAGAUUACUUGGUCAUGAGCUAGAACAGAAUCAUCUAUGACCUAAUCAAUGGAAAUUAGCCACUCAUAAUAAAAGAAUUUAAACAACAAGGUUAAAAGAAAUUACAAAGAGGUGUUUUGCUCAUCAGAAUUUCUUCUAUCCGUGGUGCAUACCGUCUUCUAUCUCUCUAUGCGUGCGUGCGUGCGUUUUGCUUUGGAAUCCAUUCUUUCCAUUCCAUGCUCUGUCCCCCAAAACCGUAAUGCAUAAAACGUGAAUCCUCAGGCGGUAUGUGGCUAGCUUCUUAUAUAUAUCAUUGUGACCUGGUUGCUAUUUUUAAUUCUUCUUCGGGUCACAUAAUCUUGGGUCAAAGCCCACUUGUUUUCUUAAUGCAAAUACUUGAAUUAUUUUCACCACUCAUUCAAUUAUUAUCACACUUUUGUUUUUCUUGGUUGGCCAAUAAACUUAUUUCCUUCCUUCAAGUGGCACUCUAAUUGACCAAUAGAACACUAGUAGACUUAAUAAAUUAAUAACAACAAUUUAUUUAAAAUGACUCUAAAUUAAAUAUUAAACUAAUGAAAAUAGACUAAGUAGUUAACUAAAAAGACUCCAAAUAAAGUGUAUGACUGACUGUCAUCAAACACAACAGCAACCUACUAUGGAUUACCUGCAAGUUACUCAUACGAAUAACAACAUUUCCAAGCAGAAGGGGUGAGAUUUCACAAAACAAUAAUAUUAAGCAUAUAAUUCAACAAUUAUAUUUAACAACAUAAAACAUCUUAUUAAUCAACACUGAUAAUAAUAUUUCACAAAUCACUUCAUAAUAAUUUCAACUCAAUCAUUUAAUCAUCAUCGACUCGACAAAUGUGACUAUGCAACUUAGACCUCUUAUAUGCAUGUGGUACCAAUACAGGGCAUAAAGCCCCCAUCGUUAUUUGAGUAUUAAUAUACUUCUAGGGCAUCAAGCCCCCAUCGCUAAUUUUGAGCUAAUGCUCCAACGCGGUGAGUACAAAAAUCCAGGGCAUCAAGCCCCCAACUAUGAAUGCUAAUGCAUGGACUCGACCUCUUAAAACAACUUAAUUCGACAACCUCUUAUAUUAGUCCAAUAAUUUGGAACAUCAACAUCUUAGACCGACUCAUGCAGCUUAGUUAAAUAACAAACAACAACAUGUGCAGUGUACAACAACAUGACAUAAUUAUAUCAAAUUCAAUUCAUCAGCAUCUUUUGUAUACAAACAUUCUUCAAGUAAUGCAUAAACUUUAUAACACUUCAUAAUCAGCAACAACAUAUCUUAUUCAUCUUCACAGAUUACGGUUAACCUCACUAUUAAGUCUUAAUCCUACCCAAGGGUCCGAUCCUCGACAACCCAUGCAACAAAGGUCGCAAAAUCUAACAAGUCACUAUGUUUCUGGGUCACUCACGAGGCGAGGGCCUCUGCUCGCCGUGGCGAGUUCAGGUUAGAAUCCCAUAAGUUUAAUUCCAGGUUCAAUCUCGUCCUACACUCUUCACUAAUCAAUAUUCGACAUGUUCAGGCACUCAAAGGCAUCUAAGGUUCAACUCAAAAAUCAAAUAUACGAAAUCUUACAUGCUCUCUGGUCAUGCUCGCUAUGACGAGUUCAUCUAUUCGCUGUGGCGAGGGAGAAUGGUUCGCUUGGAGAGCGAUGAACUUCAUCACUCGCGAGGUGGGGAUCAUCGUUCGCGAGGGCGAGCGAUGAAUGUAGGCUCGGGCAGAAGUGCAAUUUUUACGAAAAUUCAUCUUUUCACAUGGUUUUAAGCCUAACAUUGAUUCCAUAAUUCAUCCUACAUAUUAUCUAAGGUCUAGGAACAGUUUCUACAUCAAUCUAACAACUUUUCACCGUUUAAUCAUGAAUUCACUCAAUUUGACCUAAUUUCAAUUUUUCUUAAAACUCAUCCUAAUUCAUGCUAAAUAUAACCAUUGAUUCAUAGACUUAAUAAGAUUGCAAAGUUAGUCGCACCCUUACCUUGUUUUGCAUGUUUUCUUUGUAAGUUGCUCUCUGUACAUCAGUGGCAUAUGCAGGAAGCUCUUCAUACCCAUUAUGCACAAGAUCACUCACAUCUUGUGCGCCAAACAAGGAUCUCAUCAAGGCACUCCAUCAUUCCCAGUUCUUGCCAUUAAGAAUCAAAAUGUUUGAUCCAAAACCGUUAUUGUUCAUCUUCAUUAUUCUUCAAGAAACCAGAGAAAUUAGUGCACACACUUCACUCAGUGUUUUCCAAUGAUGAUUCCGCUCACUUUUCACUCGUGUUUCACUAUGGAUUUAACCCAAGCUCUCUAUACCAAUUGUUAGAACAAAAACUGUGUUCUAUGCAGCAAAAGUGCUUAUAGAAAUAAGCUGUUUUGGGCAAGAUGAGAAAAUAACAGAAAGUUGUAAAACUAAAGAGAAAAUAAUGGAGAGAAUAUAUUUGCAAUGUGAAUCUCAUUCAUCGUAUUAAGUUUCACAAUACAAAGCCUUAUAUAGGCACAAAAGAGUCACUUGCUUGUAGAGCAAGUAAUCUCACUAACUAUUAGAUUUUGAAACAAACUUAACUAACUAUUAGUUACAUGGCAGUUAUUGAUUAAGAUUCUAAUACUCCCCCUUAAUCAUAACUGCUGAACAUCAAAAAUACCUAGUUUCUUCCUCAAAAAUUCAAAUACGUGAAGUUUCACUGCUUUUGUAAAACCAUCUGCAAGCUUCACUGCUUUUGUAAAACCAUCUGCAAGCUACAGUUAUUGGUUAAUAUUCUAACAUCUUUCAUGAUUGGAAGAUUGAGGAAUUUCUUGAUUUCACAUCAUUGGAAGAGUCUCUCAUAGGGGAACCAGACAAAUAAUAGUGAGUUUUCAUCUUUGUGAAUCAAGGAGAUAAUGGUGUUUGUGUUGCCUUCAAACACCAUAAAGAAAACAAGAUCAUCGCGAAAAUUUAUAGGAAUAAAGUGAUUCAAGUCCUUCUACAACAAAUGCACUAGAGUGGACGAGGUCAAUAGGUAACUGGUGAAAUUGUAAUUGCAAUAUCAUUUUCAAUGCAUCGAAACCCAAAGAGGAAUGCAGGAAUUUGUUAGAUAGAAUGAACAGUCCAAAUUGAUGGAGCCGCGCUCUUGUGUGGUGAAGAACACAUGAUUUCCUUUGUCUAGACUUGGGUGGUGAGGAUCGUGAUUCAAUGGACCACCAUGUGUUUGGUCGACGAUUUGGGUUGGGGAAAGUCUGAAACAGUUAUAAACCAUUAAGAAGUUUGUAUAGAAUGCAUUAAACAUUUACAGUACUAUUAAAUUUUAUAUAGGCAUAAUUCAUCCACAUAAUUUGAUAACAGGAAAUCGACAUCAGAUAUUCGUUGAUUUCUCAUAGAUCCAUCUUAACUGUAGCAACUGUUAAGGGAAAUAUGGCUGUAUUGCUUCUAGAGGACAUUCUAAAAUUUAAGAAUUCUCAUUUUAUAAGCUUGAUGUUGAUGUAUAUUAGUUUGCUUGUAUACAGGGUCAUGGCUUCCCAAUUGAGAAUUAACAUUAGCGAACUCUCGUCCCUUCGAGGACGUCCGGAAAAAUUGGAACGAUACAGAGAAGAUUAGCAUGGCCCCUGAUAGAUAUUUUUAGCAAGUGCACUAAAUACUAUCGAAGUAGUAAAAAAUAUCGUUCCCACAAGGACUGUGUUAAUCUCAAUUUAGAAAUAAAGUAAAUAUUUAGGAUGUAUAAAUUAUUUUGUUUAGAUUUUAUUUGAUUGCAUAAAAUUAAAUAACAUAAAAUAAGAACAAUUCAAUUCUGUUUAAGUAGAAAGCUAUGGUCAGUAGUCAUUCAUUCUCACUAAAUCAUGUUUAUAUUUGAUCAGAAUAUAAAAAGCAUUAAGAACAAUUGAAUUGAAUAAAAACUAGAUUGUCAUUCACAAUAAAUAGAGUUUCACAGCAACAUGGUUCAAUUAGGGUUACAAAGAAUCAUCUCAGACCUGAUCUCUAAGAGAUUUAGCUACUCAUAAUUGAGUUUACAAAUAGCAUAAUCAAUAGUGGAACCAAAACAUACAUGAACUGAUAGAAGGUUGAAGAAAUCGCCCUCCUAGCCGUCUUUAGGUCUCAAAAUCGCACUUUGCUCUCUCCAAAUCGUAACCCAUUGUCUUUGGAAUAGACUUCAGCUUAAAUAGGCACAGAAUUUCGCCUAAAAUGGUGCCACGAUUUAAGUAAAUCGUGACACGAUUCUCCUUGAAUCGCAAAUCACUGAAUUAGGGUUUCCUCAUAUCGUGCCACGAUUAUGCCAUCGUGACACGAUUUCUUCAAUGUCGAAGCUUGAUUUUGGUCUUCUAAAAUCGUGUCACGUUUUUACCAAAUCGUGACACGAUUCUCUUCUUUGUAUUUUCUUCAGUUUUCUACUCUUUUGCUGCAUAAGUUGCCUUGUGAACUCCAAUUUGUGAUCAAACUACAUAUAAAAAGACUCUAAAAAUAGCGAAUGAUGGACUGUCAUCAGCCCCUGCGCAAGGAUGACACGAGAACAUUACCGACGUCUCAUAUUGAUAACAAAGUGACAUAGUUAGCAAGCCUAGGAUAGAUAAUUAGCUGUUUUAAAGAGCUUUUGAAUUUGUAAAAAUGUGCAUCAAAAUCUUCAUUUCUUCCUUGCUUAUUAUCAUUAACCAUUUUUUCUAAAACCUCUUACCAAUAAGAAAAUUGAGUUAUUUAAAACGGGCUUUCGCUUUUGUAUUGACUUGUGGAUUUAGUCCUUUUUAUUAAGGUUCCUCAUUUCAUUAAGAUUUCUUGUGGUCACUUUUUCCACUGAUGUGGCGUUUGCUUUUAAAGAUUCAUUUGACGCCAAAACUGCAUCUUAAAAAUCCUUUUUGAUUUUGUGCCUUAGCCUCUCAGCUAAUAGAACAACCUUGGCCUCUUGAAUACUUGAAAAGUAAUAUAAUUUUCUGUAAAUAGAUAUUAUUAUACCUUAUUUUAGCAAGUUUCAUAGAGUGAAAUGAUUAGGUGCGAAGCUAGUAGACCAGAGGUUUUUAUGCAGGCUUCAAACUAAUACUAUUAUAAUGAAUUUUCUUCCUGGCUUGAUAGCUCUCAGACGUAGGUGACAACUUGUGUCUUUUACUUUCUGUCUUUAUCUUUAGUUUGUUAUGUGUGUUGUCACGAUGUCUCGACAUCAUUCUUGACAUUACAAAUGUCUUGACAUCGUGUUAGACAUCUCUUUCUUGCGUUUCAGAAUUUCAAAAUUAUUGUUUGUUUUGGCUAAUGUAUAAGGUUUUCUUUGGGGGCUUGAUUAAUAAAAAGAAGUAUAAUAGGAGGAACUUCUAUGUAAGUUUCGUUGCCAUUUGGGAUUAAUUUUCAUGAUUAUAAGAAGGUUGGUGGUUAUAAUUUAGACAAAUAACUAGUGGAUCAUAAUUUGCUCAAAAACAAAAAACAACUAGUGGUGCAUAAUUUAAGACAAAAACAUUUGCAACGACAAGACCUUUCCGAGUACAUGUGCAUAACAAAAGACAUAGAUGAUCAUGAAGACCUUUCCAAAGAGAGAAAGAAAUACACGUCUUUUUUUUUGGUGUUUAUGCAAAGGACAUAUUUUUUAUACUCACUAGAAGUCAAGCUGACACUUUCCUCGAAAGAAAAAAAGUAGUCAAGUUGACACUUAAGCCAUCAAAAUUGAUUCAGUCAACACUUACUAAGGUUCUCAUUUCAUUAAGAUUUGUUGUGGUUACUCUUACCAAGUCAUUGAUCUAUAUGAUAGUAACCAAAUCUAGUACUUCCUCCGUCUCAUUUUAAGUGUCGUCUUUGCCAUAAAAACAGAAUGAAAUCGGAAAAUUUUUUAAACACCUAUCACCUGUACUCCCAUAAAAACCCCUUCAAAAAACUAUCAAACGGACCAAAAGUCAUAUUCAAACCGUCAUUCAGAUUCUUUCAAUGUAGAAGGGUUUUCUUAAUAAUUUAAUAGUAUUUUAUUUUAGUCAAACCUAAGUAAUUUUCUAGAACUUUCUAUUAUUAUAUUGUUUUGUUUUAUUUCGGUCUACGAGUUUGUUAUUUCUUUUGCUAUUUAAACAGAACAUUAUGUAGCUUAAAAGACACUUUUUGAUUCAAUAAAAUUAUUCGAGAUUUUCUCUCAAUUCUGGUGGAUUCCGGAAACCUUAUUUGAUAGGUUUGUCGCUUGCAACCUGUCUCUUUAUAUUUUAGGUUUAGUGUUUGCUAACCCUUGCUUCCGUAUUGCUUCAGUUGGUAUCAGAGCAGGUUUCUCCUGUUCGUUUCCUAACGUGAUCAGCCAUAGGAGAUCAACCGGUUACAAAAGGAGAAUUUGACAGUUUAAUUGCGACCGCCAAAGCUCUGUAUCAAAUGGCGACAUUGAUAACAACAACAACGGGGUUGACAACUAAGAUUGACAACCGCAACAACAACAACUGCAACUACAACCAACAACAGAAAUCCGAACAGGGGAGGACAACCAAUUCCAAUUAUUAGGGUUUAUAUGAUUACCACAUAAAGGCUGAUAUUCGAUUGUUUUACGGAACAAUGGAUGUAGAAAAAUUUUUGGAUUGGGAGAUUGAUGUUGACAGAUUUUUCGACGUCAUUGACGUCCCGGAAAGCAAGCAAGUUAAGAUGGUUGCGAACAGACUGAAAAGUAUCGCAGCUGUUUGGUGGGAUAGACUCAUUGUGCAUAGACAGAGACAAAGAAAAAACCCUAUUUCAACUUGGAGAAGGAUAAAACAGCUUAUGCUUAAAAGAUUUAACUCUCGGGAUAGAUUCUCUCUCUCACCGCUUGUAUCAAUUAAAAAUUUGGAGAGGAAGCAGCUCCCGUCGCCGCGGAUGUAUCAAACGUCGGUGAAGGGUGGUUAUGAUGAGAAUAUGAAGGAGAAGUUGAGUAAGGAUCUCGGAUAUGGUGGGAAAUUAUCGCAUGAUGCUGAUAUGGAAAAUAAGAAGGCGUUGACAAUAAAAAGAUCAAACUUCCUGUCAUGGAAGUAAUUGAUGUAUUAGUAGCAGAUAAAGAGAGUUCGACAAUAAAUGCCCAACCUGAUGUAUUUGGUACUGGUCAGCCUCAGCCUUUGCCACCAGUUGCUUCAAAAACCGUAAAGAAGUUACCUCUUAGUAAGAGGUAACUUCUUUACGGUUAGUGCAAUGACAUCAAUAAUAGAUGGCUUGAAGAAAUUGUAUGUGGAGCGAUUAAAACCAUUGGAAGUCACUUAUGAUUCAAUGAUUUUGUAUCCCCGCUACUAAAAUCAUCGGAUCUUCAAUAGCUAGCUGUUGUCGAAGAAACCACCGGAUCGAUAUGUUGUUAUAGUUAUCGACCAACAAUCUGAUUAUGUUAUUUUACAAAAAUUGUCACCACUCAUGGAUUGGUCAUCUAGUACCACGAUUGUAAAUCUAAAUUUCAUGCUUAGCCAAACACAUAUCAAAUCUAGUCUAAGUGUUUAAUGGUGUUACAAGGACAAGCGUCACAUGAAAGACAAACAAAAGCUCUCGCAAGUUGAAUUAUUGGUCGUUGAUGAAGCUGCUGCUAUUUCUUGUCUUCUACUAUUAAUGGUUAUGAAGGUAUUGGACGCUCUUUAUCAUUAAAACUUUUGCAUCAAUUGGAAGGUCAAAGCAAUGAUUCUGCCAAGACAACAGAGGGCACUGAUUCUGGUUUUAAGAAAAUUCAACUGAAUCAAUCCAUAAGAUAUGCUUCUGGGGAUCACAUUGACAACAGGCUUAGUAGAUUACCUCCAUGUAGUGAGUGUGAUCUAUACUAUGUCAAUCGGGAUACCCUAUUUUCUUAUCACAAAGAUAGUGAAUUAUUUUUUCAGCAAAUGAUGUCCUUAUAUGUCGCAUCACAUCACAAUAAUUCUAAACAGCUUUGUGUUGUAACAUUUGGAGACAACAGGGUCAUCAAGGCAUGGGAUGCAGUCACUGGUGCAAAGCAAUAUACUUUUGAGGGUCAUGAAGCGCCUAUAUAUUCUGUAUGCCCUCAUCACAAAGAAAGUAUUUAGUUCAUCUUUUGGACAACAACUGAUGGGAAAAUAAAGGCAUGGUUAUGAUAGAUAUUUAGCAAGUGUACUAAAAACUAUCGAAGUAAUACAAUUAAGUUCGUUUCCACGAGUACCGUGUUAAUCUCAAGUAAACAAUUGCAUUAUGAAAUAAGAUGAGUAAAGUUUAUUUUAGUGCCCGAGGCAAUAGGUAUGUGUGCAUAAAAAGUAAAUAACAUAAAAUAAAGUUGUUUAGAAAAGAUAGAGAGAGAUAUGAUUAGGUCUUUCGAAUCCUCUGAGGUCCCCUAAUUGGUACAAUGCACCUAUUUCUCAUGAAUAUUUCUAUAGUUUUACGAUGAUUAACUAAAAUAGCCCUAACCCUUGACUUAAGACUCUCUUCUCAGACUACAGUCCCUAAUUCCUUAGGUGAUCUAAUAUUCUUUGAAGGUUUUAAGAACGUUAACCUAAUAUCACAAAUAAACGAUUAUCCAAUCCUAGACUAAUUAACCCUGUUUAUUUGAACAUUUCAAUUAGGUCUAAGUGUGAAACCUAUGGUCAGUAGUCAUUCUCACGAAAUCAUGUUUAUAUUUGAUUAGCAUAUAGAAAGCAUUAAGAACAAUUAAAUUGAAUAAAACUAGAUUGAUAUUCACAAUAAUAGAGUUUCACAACAAUAUGAUUCAAUUAGGGUUACAUCAGAAUUUUCUCAGACCUAAUCUCUACGAGAUUUAGCUACACAUGGUGACUAAACAAGUUAUAAAAGAUAAACACAUACCCUAGAAAAUCAAGGAGAAGAUAGAUUCUCUCCUGAAGCUCCAAAGUAGCCUUCAUCUUGAACUGCUUCAGUUCUGAACCAGAAAUUCUGAAUGAGGAAUGCAAAUAUUUAUAGUGAGAGUUUCUACUUGGAUUUAGGUUAAAAGUGCGGGCUUUACCCAAAAUAAUAACAAGAAAAGACAAAUAUGCCCCGAGGUAUCAGAUGUGCUAGGAACAUUGUUCAUGUGUUAGGCGCAUGAGGUCUUUCUUGGGCCCAAUUCUCCGAUUUUCCGUCGUUUUAGGUUUUCGUCUUCAAAUAACUUGCCUCCAGACUAGGGAACAUAAUUUUUCCCUAUUGUAAGUCUUCUGAGGACUCGUGAAUCUUCAUUCUUGUCUUCCCAAGGUCUUGACAAUUCUUCAGUUUUUCUUGCUUUAAUUACUGUUUAAGCUUGCUUGUGAACUCCAAAUAUCAUAAAUUUACAUAAAAAAUUACGUAAUGACAAGAUGUCAUCAGGUUAUAUGAUAACAUGGGUUCUGGGGUUGAUUAUGAUGCAUUUGGCCAUUCAUCUACCACAUUGUCAGAUAGUGCUUCUUGCGGCACCAAUAAAGAAGGGGAGUCAUUUCUAGUGGAAUGGAAUGAAAGUGAAGGAGCUAUGAAGCAUACAUAUCAUGGUCUUAGGGAAGAGAUCUACAAGUGUAUGUUCAAUUUGAUACCACCAAGACACAUUUACUUGUUGUUUAUGAAACUCAAAUAGCCCAUAUGCGAUCCCCCAAAAUUGGAAUGCCUAAGGCAGUGGGUGCAUCGGGAAGCUAGUAGUCCAAUCCAAUCACACAUGUUACAUAUUCAUGCGAUAGUCAAUCAAUAUAUAUAAGCUUUGAAGAUGUUAGUUUGGAGAAAGAAAGUCGUGAUGAUAGAGUGUAUCAUGAAAAUUACUUCAAAUAUGUGAAUAUGUCUGAAUGUCACUGGCUGUUCUACACCGAAAAAUGAUUGAUAAGGGAAGUAUUUCUGUUCCAACAAUUCUACUUAAAUGGAAGACUUUACCUCCUAAGUACGGCACUUGGAAUUUUGCUGCUAAUGCUGAUGUGUUUGUGGUCAUAAGUGAUCAACCGGACAAGAUAAAAGAAUAUGAAGCUCAAGACGUAAAAUGCAAGGAAUUGACAUACACUAUACAGGAAAAGUCUCUAGAAGAUGAAGGCAUGGACUUUCAAGUUAAUUCAUGGUACUUGGAUAAUGCUAGUUGGAACCAAUCAUGGGAGUUUCCCUCGUGACAUUCUUAUUAUUUACCUGAGAUUUGUAAAAUGGAGGAUCUAGAAAUUAUUCGGCAAGCUACUGCAUUUCUUCAAUGGGAUCCAGGAGGGUGGUCUCUUGUUCAGAGGUGGAGGAGACUGAUGUAGGAGAGUUUUCUUAGUAAUUUAGUAGUAUUUUAUUUUAGCCAAAUCUUAGUAAUUUUCUAGAACUUUCUAGUAUUAUUUUGUUUUGUUUUAUUUCGGCCUACGGGUUUAUUAUUUCUUUUGCUAUUUAAAUACAACAAGGGUAUUUUUUACAUUUUCAUCAAAUCAUAAAAAACAAGGGUAUUUUUUACAUUUUCAUCAAAUCCUAAAAAGUUUAGCUUCUCUCUUCCUUCUUUCAUUCUUACGCAAAACGGUGUUUAUCUGCAAAAUGCAAAACGUAUCUUCUCUCUGCUUUUCUGCUGUUCUGUGAAACUUCUUCACCUCUGCUGUAAAUCUUCCUCUACUUUGUCGUGUUUGCUCUGUUAUCCUGUUAUUUUUUUGUUUAACAAUCUCAAACUCUGUCCUAUUACUUUUUUGUUCUAGUUUUCUUUGUAAUUAUUGAUUCCAAACCCCAUUCUACUCUCUUUGUUUCUGUUUGUAGUUUGUACAAACAAUCCUCUGUUUUGUUUAUAUAAAACUCUAUUCUGCUCUCUAUGAAAUAGCGGUCAUUGCGCUAUGCGUUAUCCCGCUAUAGCAUUUUUGGGGUCGCACGCUACGCGCUGCUAUCCGCUAUUAACUACUAUGAUUUACGGUACUAUUAAAUUUUAUAUAGGCAUAAUUCAUCCACAUAAUUUGAUAACAGGAAAUCGACAUCUGAUAUUCGUUGAUUUCUUAUAGAACCAUCUUAACUAUAGCAACUGUUAAGGGAAAUAUUGUUGUGUGGAUUCAAGAGGACAUUCUAAAAUUUAAGAAUUCUCAUUUUACAAGGUUGAUGUUGAUGGAAAAGGUUGAUGUUGAUUUUGUGCCAUAACCUCUCAGCUAAUAGAACAACCUUGGUCUCUUAAAUACUUGGAAAGUAAUAUAAUUUUUUUUAUAAAUAGAUAUUAUUGUACCAUAUUAAGCAAGUUGCAAAGAGGGAAAAGAUUAAUCUUAACAUAUAUACAGAAGUCAUAUACAUUUGUAAGCACGUUGAAUAAAUUAUCAUAUAGUUGACAUUGUCACCUUAAACUUGAAAUUUUACAAUACAAUUUGAAUGAAGUUUUAAUCUUUUUUUACAAAGUCAACAAUGAGCUGAGAGGCUAGCCCAGUGAUGUUAGUUGUUGCAGCUGCGUACACUAUAAUGAAAGAAUAUUUUAGUAAAGUUUGUAACCAAUGAUUCUUUUUAUUCUUUACUGCAUUCCCAACCAUAAUACCCUCUUGCACACCAUGCCUCUCAUCAUUUAUCUUCUUCACUAUAACUGCAUCAAAUACACUUGAAAGAAUGCUCGUAUAAUACUCAAAUUGUUCUUGUUCCGCAACCACGUUAACAUCGAGCCACAUGAAGACCAAAUCAAUUGCUUUAUUGAUCUUUUCCUUUUCUUUUGACGAAAGCAUCAAACUAAUGUCCUUAUCAUUUAUCGCAUUCCUCAUGUUGUAUGCAUACUUCUCUAAUACAUCUCUCGCUUCUAGCUUCUUCAUAUACCUCUUGUCUUCAUCUUUGUACUUCUCAGCUUCUUUGAUCAUCCUCUCAAUUUCCUCCUUUGACAAUCUUCCCUUAUCACUUAUUAUUUUAACCUUAUUAUUAACUCCAAGGAAUUUCUCCCUGCUACAGAUGUGUAAGAUGCCAUCGUCAUCGAUUUGGAAGCGGAUUAUGAUCUGAGGAACACCUGCCGCAGCAGGAGGAAUUUCCAACACAAAUCUUCCUAGCAAGUUGUUGUCCCUAGUUAUUUUCCUCUCACCUUCAUAAACAUCAAUUAGAAUAUUCAUUUGGUUGUGCAAAUGUGUGGUGAAUACAUGUUCCAUUUUGGCAGGAAUUUUGGUAUUCCUAGGGAUUAUUAUUUCCAUAAUCCCCCCAUGUUUCUCCAAUCCAAGGGACAAAGGAAUGACCUCCGACAAUAGUAAAUCUUGAACCUUCUCACUAAACUCACCACUCAAUAUAGAAGCAUGGACAGCAGCGCCAUAUGCCACCGCCUCAUCGACAUUGAUGCUUUUGCAUAAAAGCUUCCCCCCGAAGAAAUCACUCACCAUUUGUUGCACUUUUACAAUCCUAGUAGAGCCGCCAACAAGGACAACAUCAUGAAUGCUACUCUUGUCCAUCCCACUAUCAAUUAUACACUUUUCCACAAUCUCCAUGCACUUGUCGAAGUGAUUCUUGUUGAGUUCCUCAAACUUUGCGCGACUAAUCGAUGAGUAGAAAUCUAUACCUUGAUUUAAACUCCCUAUCUCAAUGGUGGUCGUAGUAUUGGAAGAAAGUAUCCUUUUUGCUUUCUCGCAAGCAGACUUCAACCUCCUAAGGGCUCUUGGAUCUCCACUAAUGUCGAUUUUAUACUUCCUCGAGAACUCUUUCACAAAAUGGUUCACCAUUGUAUUAUCAAAGUCUUGUCCCCCAAGGUGAGUGUCUCCUGCAAUCGCCUUAACAUUGAUAGCACCGUUCUCAAAUGUGAGAAUGGACACGUCCAGAGUACCACCACCUAAAUCAAAAAUGAAAACAUGUCUACAUCCAUGAUUAAAAGGUUUCAUGUCAAGACCAUAUGCAAUUGCAGCUGCAGAAGGCUCAUUGAUUAUUCGCAUAACAUUGAGGCCAGCAAUAACACCCGCAUCUCGAGUGGACUGGCGUUGUGAGUCAUUAAAGUAAGCAGGCACAGUUAUAACAACAUCCUUCACUGUUGAUCCAAGGUAAGCUUCAGCUAUCUCGGCCAUUUUUGCCAAUACCAUCGAUGAGAUUUCUUCAGCAGCAAAAUGCUUUUCCUCGUCAUUAUAGUUAACAACAAUCAUGGGUUUGUCAUUGAGGUCGCCAAUUACUUUGAAGGGCCACGACUUCAUAUCACUUUGUACGAUUGAGUCGCAAAACUUCCUACCAAUUAGCCUCUUUGCAUCUACAAAACAAACAAAAGAAUUGAGUACACUAUGAGAAAAAAUGAUGUACCAUUUUCAUUGCAUUUGAAUAAAUCUGUAUGUAUAAAUAGGAUAACUCUAAUAUAUCUUGAAUAUGAAAAAUUGUUAUAUAUUAAUUAUGAAUCAAAUUACACUGAUGUAACAUGUAUCGUUAUAUCACUAAAUAACUUUUUAUUGGAUAUUUUCAUUACAAAAUUCAUAGCUAGAUUAAAAAUUAUUUUGCAUAUAAUACAUCUAUAAAAUCAUUUGAUAUAUAAUAUACAGUUGAUUUAAAAUUAUUUCCAUAUCAAAUUCAGUUGGUUCCAAACCCAGCUUGCAUCCAAAAGAGUUAAUAUAUGUUUACCUCAUGUAAUAUUAGCGGUUUCUGAUUACACCCUAUAAAAAAAUUUGAUUCCAACUCUGUAAUUUGAAGAUUGUUUGGAUUUAGACUUUCAUGAAUUUUGACCGUACAAAAUCGAUAAAAUGACAUACAUAAACAAAAAUUCGUUCAAAAUACAGAGUGUGAAAGUACCUUAAAUAUUGAAAUUUGAUGUCAUAAAAUAAAACACUAAAGAAUCUUCAAAUAACAGAGUUGAAAUCUAAAAAAGAAACUUUACAGAAGUUAAACCGAAAACCGUUAAUAUUACAUAGGGUAAACAUAUAUUAACCCUAUCGAAAAUAAGAAUUUUAACUAAAAAUAUAAUAUACAUAGGAUAAGUUUCAUGCAUUAAAAUAUCAUAUAUAGUUUGCUCAUCAAACACUAAAAUCAAGGAAAAACAUGAUAGUUUAUCCUAUCAUGUAUCAGUUUAUUCUAAAUAAAAUCAAGAGUAAUUGAGUUUAGAAGCUUUUACCGAAAACAGUGUUGGUUGGGUUGGAUGCAGCCAUAUUGAAAGCAGAAUCACCAAUCAUUCUUUCAGAGUCAGUGAAGGCAACAUAAGAAGGUGUUGUUCUAUUCCCUUGGUCGUUCGGUAUGAUCUCUAUCCUAUCAUGCCUCCAUACAGCAACACAAGAAUAGGUUGUUCCUAGGUCGAUUCCUAUUGCAACUUUCUCACCUUUUACUGUCAUUUCUCUCUUGCAAGGUCACCCAGGUUUUGAGAACAAAUUGUUGUUUGUUUCGGCUAAUGUAUGUAUAAGGUUUUCUUUGAGGGCUUGGCUUAUAAAAAGAAGUACAAUAUGAACUUCUUUGUAAGUUUCGUUGCUGUUUCGGAUUAGUUUUCAUGAUUUUAAGGUUGGUGGUUAUAAUUUUCACAAAUAACUAGUGGAUAAUAAUUUGCUCAAAAACAAAACAACUAGUGGUGCAUAAUUUAAAACAACUAGAAGUCAAGCUGACACUUUCCUCGAAAGAAAAAAAAAAGUAGUCAAGUUGACACUAAAGCCAUCAAAAUUGAUUCAGUCAAAUUCUUAUAAACCGGAGUUUUGCUACUUGCAAGAGUGAAUAUUCUCCUUGGAUAGCAUAUUAAAUCCAUCUAUAUAGGCUGUAACCCUUAUUUGUAAAAUAAAAAGAAAAAAAAUUCAUUAGACGCCAAACUUGCAUUUCAAAAAUCCAUUUUGAUUUUGUGCCUUACCCUAAUAGAACAACCUUUCUUUCCCAUGGAAAAGGUUGGGAAUUCCGCCUUUAUUGCGAUAUGUCCCUAGUCGCUUAAAUGCGACAUUUGAGUUGUCUUGUGUUGGCUUUGAGGGGGUGGAUUUAGUCCCAUAUGGGUUGAAUUGGACUAAGUGUAUAGAAGAGGAGGCACUCCAUGCUUUACAAGCCGGUUUUGUCAAGAUGAGUUAGGCUACAAAUUUCUACGGUUCGCAAAUACUCCAGAGUCGGAAGAGCAUUUUUUUUGUAAAGUGUUUUCCCUAGUUAUUUUCCUCUCACCUUCAUAAACAUGAAUUAGAAUAUUCAUGUGGUUGUGCAAAUGUGUGGUGAAUACAUGUUCCAUUUUGGCAGGAAUUUUGGUAUUCCUAGGGAUUAUUGUGUUCAUAAUCCCCCCAUGAGUCUCCAAUCCAAGGGACAAAGGAAUGACCUCCGACAAUUGUAAAUCUUUCUCACUACACUCACCACUCAAUAUAGAAGCAUGGACAGCAGCGCCAUAUGCCACCGCCUCAUCGACAUUGAUGCUUUUGCAUAAAAGCUUCCCCCCGAAGAAAUCACUCACCAUUUGUUGCACUUUUACAAUCCUAGUAGAGCCACCAACAAGGACAACAUCAUGAAUGCUACUCUUGUCCAUCCCACUAUCAAUUAUACACUUUUCUACAAUCUCCAUGCACUUGUCGAAGUGAUUCUUGUUGAGUUCCUCAAACUUUGCGCGACUAAUCGAUGAGUAGAAAUCUAUACCUUGAUUUAAACUCUCUAUCUCAAUGGUGGUCGUAGUAUUGGAAGAAAUCUAUACCUUGAUUUAAACUCUCUAUCUCAAUUAUACACUUUUCUACAAUCUCCAUGCACUUGUCGAAGUCAUUCUUGUUGAGUUCCUCAAACUUUGCGCGACUAAUCGAUGAGUAGAAAUCUAAACCUUGAUUUAAACUCUCUAUCUCAAUGGUGGUCGUAGUAUUGGAAGAAAGUAUCCUUUUUGCUUUCUCGCAAGCAGACUUCUACCUCCUAAGGGCUCUUGGAUCUCCACUAAUGUCGAUUUUAUACUUCCUCGAGAACUCUUUCACAAAAUGGUUCACCAUUGUAUUAUCAAAGUCUUGUCCCCCAAGGUGAGUGUCUCCUGCAAUCGCCUUAACAUUGAUAGCACCAUUCUCAAAUGUGAGAAUGGACACAUCCAGAGUACCACCACCUAAAUAAAAAAUGAAAACAUUUCUACAUCCAUGAUUAAAAGGUUUCAUGUCAAGACCAUAUGCAAUUGCAGCUGCAGAAGGCUCAUUGAUUAUUCGCAAAACAUUGAGGCCAGCAAUAGCACCCGCAUCUCAAGUAGACUGGCGUACGUUGUGAAUCAUUAAAGUAUGUAGGCACAAUUAUAACAACAUCCUUCACUGUUGAUCCAAGGUAAGCUUCAGCAAUCUCGCCCAUUUUUGUCAAUACCAUGGAUGAGAUUUCUUCUGCAGCAAAAUGCUUUUCCUCGUCAUUAUAGUUAACAACAAUCAUGGGUUUGUCAUUGAGUGGUGCAACGGUAUUACAUAGAAAUGUCACCAAGUUGUAACUGGUUUGAAUCUCUCUUGCUGUGUUUUUCAUAAUUUUUUUUAGAAGUAAAAUUAGGGUUGCAAGACUUAAUAGGAUUUAUAUAUAAAUAUACUAGACUUUUGACCCGUGCGAAGUCUACUAAUAAACACAAACAAACUUAAUAUUCCAAAUAAAAUACUACCUCCGUCCCUAAUUAUAAGAGCCUUUUGAGAAAAAAAUUUGUCCUUUUUUAUAAAACCCUGUUGGUAUUUACAAGUACAUUAAUUAAUUCUUUACCAACAUACCCUUAUUUAUUUUGCAUUUUUUUCUUCAAUCAACAAUAAAUAUUAUGUUGAAAACAUAAAUUAACUCUCUCUCUUAAGGAUACAAUUGUAAAAUCAAUAGUAAUUAUAUAAAAAUUUAAUACUACAGCCAACUUUCUUAAUUUCCGUAAUUUUUGCCUAUAACCAACUUUCUUAAUUUCUUAAUUUUAAUAAGCAAUAAAUUUACCAAUUUCUAUUCUCACUCAUCAAUUCCUGCGGUGAAUACUCUUUUAAAAAGACAUCAAACUAUAUUUGUUUGAACAAUGCAAAUAACCCAAAAUACUUCCCAAACAUACAAACUAAUAAAUAUUAUUUAGUCUCAGUGCACAAUCUUUUUUCUUUUGUUUUUUUUGCACUUUCUUCUACUAAUAGGAAUAUAAUCUUUGCAUAAAACACAGACAUGCAAUGGACAAAACAUAUUUGAGGUUUACUACAUCAGGAUCUAAAAUGUCUAAGCACUUUGAUUGUGCAGAUAAUCCUUAAGUCUUCUACUUUAUUUGCACAGUUGGAAGCAACAUAUAAAUGAGCCUUCAUAUACAUUAUGCGCAGUAGAAAUAAAUCAAAAGUAUAGCAGAUCUUUCAAAACACAAAACCAUAACCGAAACAGUCAUUAACGGAAACAAAAGGACAACUGACUUGGACAUCAGCAACACAACCGAAACUCCAUAAUCUUUCAAGAGACUUCACUCAUAGGCUUCAACCUUAACAUGCACCAGCUUAGGCUCUUUUGUAACAGAUGCAUCUUCACCAAUCAAAACAAUAUCAUCUAGUGAUUCGACGCUAUCAGCAGAUCGCUUUCCCAAAGAUUUGAUAGUUGGAGUCACAACUGAAUCAAUUGCGGNNNNNNNNNNNNNNNNNNNNNNNNNNNNNNNNNNNNNNNNNNNNNNNNNNNNNNNNNNNNNNNNNNNNNNNNNNNNNNNNNNNNNNNNNNNNNNNNNNNNNNNNNNNNNNNNNNNNNNNNNNNNNNNNNNNNNNNNNNNNNNNNNNNNNNNNNNNNNNNNNNNNNNNNNNNNNNNNNNNNNNNNNNNNNNNNNNNNNNNNNNNNNNNNNNNNNNNNNNNNNNNNNNNNNNNNNNNNNNNNNNNNNNNNNNNNNNNNNNNNNNNNNNNNNNNNNNNNNNNNNNNNNNNNNNNNNNNNNNNNNNNNNNNNNNNNNNNNNNNNNNNNNNNNNNNNNNNNNNNNNNNNNNNNNNNNNNNNNNNNNNNNNNNNNNNNNNNNNNNNNNNNNNNNNNNNNNNNNNNNNNNNNNNNNNNNNNNNNNNNNNNNNNNNNNNNNNNNNNNNNNNNNNNNNNNNNNNNNNNNNNNNNNNNNNNNNNNNNNNNNNNNNNNNNNNNNNNNNNNNNNNNNNNNNNNNNNNNNNNNNNNNNNNNNNNNNNNNNNNNNNNNNNNNNNNNNNNNNNNNNNNNNNNNNNNNNNNNNNNNNNNNNNNNNNNNNNNNNNNNNNNNNNNNNNNNNNNNNNNNNNNNNNNNNNNNNNNNNNNNNNNNNNNNNNNNNNNNNNNNNNNNNNNNNNNNNNNNNNNNNNNNNNNNNNNNNNNNNNNNNNNNNNNNNNNNNNNNNNNNNNNNNNNNNNNNNNNNNNNNNNNNNNNNNNNNNNNNNNNNNNNNNNNNNNNNNNNNNNNNNNNNNNNNNNNNNNNNNNNNNNNNNNNNNNNNNNNNNNNNNNNNNNNNNNNNNNNNNNNNNNNNNNNNNNNNNNNNNNNNNNNNNNNNNNNNNNNNNNNNNNNNNNNNNNNNNNNNNNNNNNNNNNNNNNNNNNNNNNNNNNNNNNNNNNNNNNNNNNNNNNNNNNNNNNNNNNNNNNNNNNNNNNNNNNNNNNNNNNNNNNNNNNNNNNNNNNNNNNNNNNNNNNNNNNNNNNNNNNNNNNNNNNNNNNNNNNNNNNNNNNNNNNNNNNNNNNNNNNNNNNNNNNNNNNNNNNNNNNNNNNNNNNNNNNNNNNNNNNNNNNNNNNNNNNNNNNNNNNNNNNNNNNNNNNNNNNNNNNNNNNNNNNNNNNNNNNNNNNNNNNNNNNNNNNNNNNNNNNNNNNNNNNNNNNNNNNNNNNNNNNNNNNNNNNNNNNNNNNNNNNNNNNNNNNNNNNNNNNNNNNNNNNNNNNNNNNNNNNNNNNNNNNNNNNNNNNNNNNNNNNNNNNNNNNNNNNNNNNNNNNNNNNNNNNNNNNNNNNNNNNNNNNNNNNNNNNNNNNNNNNNNNNNNNNNNNNNNNNNNNNNNNNNNNNNNNNNNNNNNNNNNNNNNNNNNNNNNNNNNNNNNNNNNNNNNNNNNNNNNNNNNNNNNNNNNNNNNNNNNNNNNNNNNNNNNNNNNNNNNNNNNNNNNNNNNNNNNNNNNNNNNNNNNNNNNNNNNNNNNNNNNNNNNNNNNNNNNNNNNNNNNNNNNNNNNNNNNNNNNNNNNNNNNNNNNNNNNNNNNNNNNNNNNNNNNNNNNNNNNNNNNNNNNNNNNNNNNNNNNNNNNNNNNNNNNNNNNNNNNNNNNNNNNNNNNNNNNNNNNNNNNNNNNNNNNNNNNNNNNNNNNNNNNNNNNNNNNNNNNNNNNNNNNNNNNNNNNNNNNNNNNNNNNNNNNNNNNNNNNNNNNNNNNNNNNNNNNNNNNNNNNNNNNNNNNNNNNNNNNNNNNNNNNNNNNNNNNNNNNNNNNNNNNNNNNNNNNNNNNNNNNNNNNNNNNNNNNNNNNNNNNNNNNNNNNNNNNNNNNNNNNNNNNNNNNNNNNNNNNNNNNNNNNNNNNNNNNNNNNNNNNNNNNNNNNNNNNNNNNNNNNNNNNNNNNNNNNNNNNNNNNNNNNNNNNNNNNNNNNNNNNNNNNNNNNNNNNNNNNNNNNNNNNNNNNNNNNNNNNNNNNNNNNNNNNNNNNNNNNNNNNNNNNNNNNNNNNNNNNNNNNNNNNNNNNNNNNNNNNNNNNNNNNNNNNNNNNNNNNNNNNNNNNNNNNNNNNNNNNNNNNNNNNNNNNNNNNCGGACUUCCAAUGUGAAAUGAUAGCCCCUAGGCAUCUACAAGCCCCCAAGUAUCUAAAUUGUCAAAUCUAUCUAAGCUAACUCCCAUCUCUCUUAUAUGAAAUGAAGAAAGGAUUUUUCUCGGUCACUUUAGUGUUAAGGUUAGAACCUCUUCCUCAUAAUAUCUAUCUUAUACAGGAGCAAGAAAAGGGUUGGACUACACACACACACUCACUUAAGACUUGUUGUUGGGUUGAAUAAAGUUCACAAGGAAUACUUGAAGUUUUGAAUAGUGUACAUUGAAAUGAAACCUCAAGGAGACAUAAACUUUUAUUGAAUUGUCAUAUAUUAAUCCUUUUGUUGCUGCCAUGUCUAUGCCUUUUGCUUGAGGACAAGCAAAUAUUUAAGUGUGGGGGAGUUUGAUGAGUCAUUUAUUACCUAUUUUUAUAUGUUAUUUAGUUUAGUUUUAAUUAGAUUUUAUUUUAUUUUAUAUUAGUAUUAUUUCCUUUUUAANAACCAGAUUCACUAUCCAGAUCUUCCCAGGUCGCCAUCAAACUCUUCUUGAUUUGCUUUCUGAAUUUGCUUGAGCUGAAACUUGGUUUCUUAGGUCUGCUCUUUGACUUCUCCUUCUGAAGAUCAUGGCAAUCAGCAAUGAAAUGACCAGGCUUCUUACAGUUGAAGCAUCCCUUUUGAUCUUCUUUCUUAGAGUUCUUAUAUCCACCUCUCUUGCUCAAAAACUUCUUCUGCUUCUUUGCCAGAUCUAUAUUCAAGCUUGUUAGACAGCAUGGCCAUCUUCACUGAUUGAUCUUCAUCAGAAUCUCCAUCUGGUGAUUCUUCUUCAUAUUCACUGGCCUUGUAAGCUUUGGAUGACUUUGCUUUAGAUAGUAGAGCAAUAGAUCUAUUCUUCUUUGAGGAUUCAUGCUCAUUCGAGACUCAUUUCGUGUACCUUGAGGGAACUGACAAGAUCUUCAACACUCAAAGUGUUCAGAUCCUUAGCUUCCUCAAUGGCAGUCACUUUGGGUCUCCAUCUUGAAGGUAAGCUUCUCAAAAUCUUGCUUACAUGAUCAGAAGCAACAUAACUCUUCUUCAGUAUUUGCAGUCCAGAUAUUAAAGUUUGAAAUCUUGAGUACAUCUCCUCUAUACUCUCAUCAUCCUUCAUCUUGAACAGCUCAUACUGAUGAACUAGCAUGAGUGCCUUUUCUUCUUUAACCUUCUUGCUACCUUCGUAGUUAGCACAGAGUGAUGCAAACAUUGCCUUAGCAGUGGAUUUAUCACUCAUCUUCAUAUAUUCAGUGCGACGUAUAGAAGCAACAAUGAUCCCUUUGAUCUUGUGAUGCUUUUUGUAUAGCUUCUUCUGAGCAAGAGUGUGAAUCUUUCUAUCAAUAGCAGCUCCUUCUUCAUCCAAGUCCAAAUCAUCAACUCCUUCUUCAAGAAUAUUCCACAGCUCCUCAUCUAAUCCCAUGAUGUAGCUAUACAUGUUGGUUUUCCACCAAGAAAACUCUUCUGGAUCUCCAUUGAACUUUGGAGCUUUUCCAGAAUUUGAUUUCUUGUCAGUUGUACCAUAAUCAUUUUUUAUAUUAGUGUAUCUUGUAGAUGUAGAAGAUUCUUGUUCAGUAGACAUGUUUUUCUCGGAUCUUGAUCUGUCACACGGUUAAGUGCUUUGAUAACAAAGCAAGCUCUGAUACCAAUUGAAGGUGAGAAAAACACAAGAAGGGGGAGUUGAAUUGUGUUUUUUUUUUCUUAGAAAAUUCUCCUUCUGAUAUCACUUCAGAAGCUGUUUGAGAGUGCUUCUGAUGUGAUGUUCAGAAUCAGAUAUGCAGCGGAAUAAAACAGAGUAGAGAAAAGAAAGAGAGACACAAGCAAUUAUACUGGUUCCUUCCACAAACCAGAAGUAGUCCAUUCCCCCUUGCACUUCCAAGGAGAUUUCCACUAAGAAAUAAUCACACAUAUUACAACUGCUCAAUACUAUCUAGUAUGAGACUUCACAAAUGCUCAAGCACGCAGGCAAGAGACUUCCUAUGCUCAAGCACUAAAGCAAGAGACUUCUAUUCAAACAGAAUUACACAGAAAAUUGUUUGUGUUUGAACACUUGAUAUACAAUCAGUGGUGUUCACAAUACAAUGCAAUCAAAGACUCUAGACUUAAGAAUUUCUAAGAUGUAUCAAAUCAAUACAGAAAUUCAAAGUGCUUUUGAGAAACAAAUUUGGCAGAGUUUGGGCGCUUUUAAUUUGUUGUAGUGUCUCUACCAAUCUUCAAGUCUUUACUCCUUUAUAUAGAGGUGUGGAGAGAGACGUUGAGAUCUUAAGCACGUCUAAAGAGUCGUUGAGAACCUUUGAUCAUCCACCAGUAAUCUUUUGCCUGAUUUGGAUAUUGUACUAUGAAAAAUCAAGUUCAAAUCCAUUCCUAUCUUGAAGGAACAUUUCUGCAGGCAGAGCUGUUAUCUUGUGUUGUAGCAUAGACAAAAGCAGAGUAGUGGAGGUAGUGGUUGUACACUUGUACUUUGUCAACUCUUCAAUGAUGGACAAGCACCCAAUGCUUUUCAAAUGAACGUUGGCACUUCCCUUUUGAUCAUUCGCUCUCUUAGACGAGGUUUACUUUAAGAGACAACUCUUUUGAGAUUUCAGAUUGAAUCUUUUGAUCAACUGUAGCUUCUGGUGAUGAUAUAGUUUCUGAUGAAAUUUGCUGUUGCUGAACUUUGCUUCUGAUGAACUUCUGCUUCUGAUAACGUCAUUACUUCAGAGGCACUUGAAACUUCAUAAUCACUUCAUAGCUUCAGACGUAGUUUUCUUCAGGUGCUUUAGGUUCCUUUGCUCUCGUUUGUUCUUCCAAGACCUAUUGAAAUUGAUUAACUUUGCCUAUGGUCCUUUACACUUGAACAAUUAUUAGCAAUAUCCAAUUGACAAUUUUUAAUACCUUGUUAUCAUCAAAACUCAUUAAGGUUUAUUGUAAAACACAUUUUGUUCCAACAGGAGUGUUUCAAGGAAAUGCUUAGACUUUGUCCCCACCAUGGUCUAGAAAAGUGGCUCAUAGUCCACACUUUUUAUAAUGGCCUAACUUAUACUACUAAGAUGUCUGUUGAUGCAGCUGCAGGUGGAGCACUAAUGAAUAAGAACUACACGGAGCCUUAUGCUUUGAUUGAAGAUAUGGCUCAGAAUCACUACCAAUGGACCAAUGAAAGAGCCAUCACCGCCUCUACACCCUCCAAAAAGGAGGCAGGUAUUUACGAGGUCUCUGAUUAUGAUCACCUUGUUGCUAAGGUCGUUGCAUUAACUCAAAAAUUUGAAAAACUCAAUGUUAAUGCUGUCACACCUUCUCCGACAUCUCCUCCUUGUGAAAUCUGUGGUAUAUAUGGUCAUACUGGUGUUGAUUGUCAAUUAGGUAGUGCUACUAAUAGUAUUGAGCAAUUGAACUAUGCUCAAUACAACCAAGGAACGAGGCCAAAUCAAAACUUUUANAUUAGGUGUGAGCAUUAGGGUUGUUCAUGAAAAUAGGAGAUUAGAUAUGAGCAUAAGGGUUAAAACAGUACACUUACGUAAUAGGGAUUGUUCAUAAAUGUUGUUCAUGAAUAAGGAUUUGUCACUGUCAAUCCUUCAUAAAUGUUGUUUUUUGAUACACUAAAAAACCAAAAGCAAUUUAUGAAUUAUAUUGGAGCCUGUGACUGUUAAUUUUCGUGUAGUGUAGAGGAGCUCAAGUUAUUUAGUAUGAUCAUGAUGAUGUUAAUUAACAAAUAUGAGGAUUUGUAUUAUUCAGUCUAUGUAUAUUUGUUUAGAUUACAUAAUAUGUGCACUAUUUGGCUGUGUUUUUUAUUUAGUGCGGUAACAUUUUGGGAUUGGCUUAGUACACUUGGAGUUUAUCUUAAGAAAUCAGUUUCAUUUAACUUAUUCAAACAUAUAGUAAGGAUUAAAAAAGAAAAAACAGUAUUCAAUUCGUGCGAAGGACGCGACCUUCGUUCUCAAAAUUACGAAGAAUAAGAAUGUUCCGUAAUUUGAACAUCCCUCUUUUAGAGAAAUUUUUUUAAAAAAUACAUAAUUUAACCCGUGCUUCGCACGGGUUUGUAACUAGUUUAUCUAAGAAAAUGAUUUUGGGUUUUCUUUGAAAUAGGAGAUUCUUGGAAAAAUUGGAGUUUAUGUGGGAAAAAUUGGAGUUGCAUUGGGAAAAUAGGAGUUGAUUUGAAAAUUCUUCGAUAAAAUAAUAUAAAGAGGCUGUUCACGUGCUUCUCUCUUUUAACUCUUCCAUUUUCUUUUUUAAUUCUAGAAAUAGAGUGUGACAUUUAGAUUUUUUAUAAAUAAAAAAUUACACAACUCACAUCCUCAUCACUUAAGCGAUGCAACACGUAGGCACUGAACCAAAUUUUAUGUUUUAUAAAAGGAGAAAAGUUAAAGGUUAAAAUUACUAGUAUUAUUUUAA
rnacentral:lncRNA from 1 species